rnacentral:lncRNA from 1 species
UAACUUAAAUCUGUAUGCUUUGGUCAAACAACACUAAGACUGAAUAACUAAACUAGGACUAUAACUGAGAUUGUAUCUGAGACUGUGGGAGGUAUCAUCUAGCCAACAUUCCCUAAUUUGAGCUAAUUGGGGUCCAACCUGUAACCCCAAUUGGAAGGGUGUUAAUACCGUGCCACGGAUACUAACACUGGCUGUGUGGAUCCUCUAAAUUGAUAUAAUGUCCAAAGGACUAAGGGUGUCAAGCCUGAACUGAUAGGUGACCCCUGCGAGAUAGUCAAGCCUACUCUGACGGAUGACUUCUCAUAUCCUAUGCUUGCUAUGUAGUUCUAGAGUAUAAGGACUGCUACUAAUGACUCUUCCUAUCUAACGAGAAACCCAUCAUCCCUAUACUAGCUCAGUGCUAAAUCUUACUCCCAAUUGAAAGACACUGAAAUGCUAGACAGUUUUGAGUUUAAUUGAUUGAUAUAUGACUAUCCUGAUAAUGCUCAUAGUAUGUUCUGACGACUAUUCUAUAAUGUAAUGAGACUAGACUACAUAAACAGUUAUGGUUUUUGGGUAUUCAAUACCCCCAGGACUCAAAAGCAACAAUGAUAAAAUGACACUAAAGCUUGGGGGACAAAGCAUGAAUGCUUUUAUUAAAUCAAUCACUUUUGUAGGCAUUUUAUCAAACACUUGUUGUUCAUGGUUUAAAACAAUCAUAGAAAUGUCAUGGAGCUUAUAGAAAUAGCAUGAAUUCGACAUAAUAGUAUUAAAUCAUAGUUUAAUUCAAUAAAUAAUAAUAUUAAAACAUGGAGGAUUGGAUAACAAUAAUAAUUUCAUUGAAUCAUGGUAUAAAAUCAAUAAUACAUGGAGAUUCAUGGGUGAAAUUACAAUUUAAAAUCAAUCAACUUGAAAAGAUCAAAAUUUUAUAAUUUAAAUAGGAUACUUGGACUCCAUGGAUGAAAAGAAUCCAUGGAUAAACAUCUAACAUACUUGGGAUAAUGAAUUUAGGAGGAUUGAUGGAGAGUUCUUGAGAUUUGGCCUUGAAUUUGAGAGUUAAGGUUCUUAUUCUUGAAGAGAGUUGAUUUUAAUUUGAGAGAAUAAUGCAAAAGUGAUAAAAUAAUGCUCUCUUAGGGUUAAAUCCCGUGUUUAGGAAAAUUUGGGGCCAUGGAAAAAUACCAAACGUCCCCUGUAAUUUAAAAUUGCAAAACUGGAAAAAAUUCCCGAUUUUCAUCCUUGGCGCGACGCGCCACUAUCGCGCCAAGCCACUGGAAAAGGGAUAAUUGGGAAAAUGAAUGGUGGCACGACAUGGCGUAAUCGUGUUGCCACCUUUUUUGUGACCUGGAAGCUCACUGCGUCAGGAGAAUUUUCCUGAUCUUGGAGGGAAUGAAAAACAUAUAAUCUAUUCAUCUACUGACCACUGGUGGCACUGGAAGUGGCACCCUGCUGAGUUGGGUGACCAAAUGGAACUGACAAUUAAUGGGACUGGCCCUAUUAGCACACAUCCCUACCUUUCUAAGCAACUACCCAACAUUUCUGAAUCCGAUGUCCUAGCUUGCCAUACCCAAAGCACACAUCACUACCCACUUUAUACUCAUCCUGAUAGUGUCUACUAUAUUUCUGACAUAGAGGAUUUGUACUAGCACUGCUAACACUGACCUAGGACUUAGAGCCUAGUGCUUUAUCCUAUUAUUAUUUCUGAAUUUAGGUAUCGGAGCAUUGUCUGAAGAGGGUGUUGGGGCUAAAGACCUCUGAAGAAACUGAGGACGGUUACCACCCUCUGACUUUGGCUGACUGAAGUUAAAACUACCCAUUCUAGCCAUCUUGUUUCCUCUCUCUCUCUCUCUCCUUAAUUUUCUUCUUCUCUAUCUAUUGAGUAUGGACCAUCAGCCUAGAUAAGUUCAUCUCACUAAUCAGCAUUGCAGUCCUGUAUUCCUUGACCACACUAUCAUAUACGCCAGAGACAAACUUACUCAUCUUGAACCUGUUGUCAACUACAAUAUGAGGAGCAUAUCUAGAUAACUGAGUAAACUUAAGGUAAUACUCCCUCACGUUCAUGCUUCCCUACCUCAAAUUAAUAAACUCUAACACUUUGGCCUCCCUCAACUCCAAUAGGAAGAAUCUGUCUUACAAAGCUAUGGCAAAUUCUUCCCAUUCUACAGGCCCUGCAUCUACACCCCUAUCAAUCUUCUACUGCUUAAACCAAGUAUGGGCUAUAUCCUGCAACUAGUAUGUAGCCAACUCAGCUUUCUGACUAGAUGUCACCCCCAUAGCAUCCGUGACCUUCUAAACCAUAUCUAAGAAUUCCUGUGGAUCCUCUUCAAACUUGGAUCCCAUGAAAGAAGGAGGAUUUAUCCGGGUGAAAUCCCAAAUUAUGGUUGCAGAAGUAUUGGCCACUAGGUUGGCCAGAACAGCAGCUGGCCAUUCAUUUUGUGCUACUACAGAGUUUUCUAGAGUAGUGAACACAGCUUGGAAUUUUGCGUUAGAGACAUGCUCGUCCAUAGGAUCUGCCUGGAUGGGCUAAAGGGCUGGCUGGUUUCCUGUUCUUCUUUCAUUCUUCUUAGGAGGCAUGUUCUAUAAAUGGAAGGAAGAAAUAGAUUACAUAGGGAGUUUAACUUGAGCUCAUGCUCACUCGCACGUUAUGAAUCUAAAACAAGGGAAACUUUUUCCUAAAUGCCUUGUAGCCUCUCGUUCAUAAGUGUGGCGCACUAUACACCCAUGCAUAAAACUUUACUUGAUGCAGCUAUCAGAUUUUCUAGGACACUUUAAAACCUUAGGCUCUGAUACCAAGUUUGUAAUGCCUCGAGAGCACACCCUAGGCGUCACACGAUGGUUACAGUCCCGAAGGACCAUAAGCUAACCCAUAAGCUAGUACCUGCAAAGGUUUAGGUCAUAUUUCUAUCCCAAAUGUCCUAAAUAGGCUAAUUCAUGGUAUACUAGUCAUUCACCCAUCCUAAAAGCCUUACCUAACAUAAAAUCUAUACAAUACAUAAUCUUAUAGGGAAAAGUUGACUAAAGCCUACCUCGAUAUUGAACCACAUUCUUAAACUGUCCAUAAAUUGCUUAUUUUUUAUCCAUGAUCCCAAAAAAUGAUCUCGUUCUAUUAAAAUAAUAAUCUAUAAGUUAAUAGGAGUAAAAUGAUAUCCAUAUUUCUAUAUAAAACUUUGGCCUGAAAUUGGGUCUAUAAUAGGCCUGUCGGGCUUACUACCAUUCAAAAAUUGAAUCCACUAUGAGGUUUCUUGAAGGAUUAGGAUUGUGUGCUCAAAAGUUAAGAACAAAUCAGAGCUCAGUCGUCCCCUAAAUCCUAAAUAAUCUAGACCUAUAACCAAGAACUAAAUAGAUUUUGGGAUGAAACAAUAUGAGAAUAUAAAGGAUGGGUCAACAUACUUGAGUUUAUUGUGAUGAAAUCCCAAUACUUUACAAGCUCCAAAGCCUCUAAUGGUGGGAAGUAAUGUUGGAAAAUAUAGAAAGAUUGCAGAAGAUGGGUAUUAUAAGUUUCCAACAUUGACCAUUGAAGUGGUUGGAUGAAUGCUAAAGCGACCAUCACUAAAGUGAUGAAUUGGUCACUUAAGUGACCAUGUCUUGGCAGGGCGGCCUUCGCUAAAGCGAUCAUCUGGAUGCUAAAGAGACCAUCGCUAAAGUGAUAUAUUGGUCAGUAUCACUAAAGUCAUCACCAUGCUGCUAAAAUAACUACCUCUUAAGUGGUUAUAUGGCUGGAUAAGCAGUUGUACCAGCAACUUAAGGCAUCAAAUUUUGCUAAGUCCAAAUGGACUCCGAUCAAAUCCUUGGGAUUCAUUAGGAACCCUAUUCGCUCAAACUACUAUGCUACCAUACCAAAUUUGACAUUUUAGACUCAACAGAACCAUCAAAAUGUUCAUAUGAGAUCAUUUUGAUUAAAUAUGGGUCCCAUACCUAGUUUUGUUUUAAUCAAAUUUUACCUAAUAGCCCAAAAGAGUCUAAAAGCCUCAAAACCUAAACCAAGGGUCCCCCAUCCUAAAUCAAGAUUCUAUAGCUAUAGCACUACCAAAAUUUCCAUUCGAUCCCAUUUACUAGAAGUUUUGGUUCGAGACCAAUUCCUUAACAAUAAAAACUCAAAAAUAAAGAAUUGAGCCUAAAAUCCAAAUGAACUAUCUGAUAACCAAAUCAAUAGUUCUAGCAAGCUAUGAAUAACCUGUAGCCACUGUGGGAAGGCUCAAAUGCUAAAAAUGCAUAGGAAUCAAGAAAAUGACCUAGAGGGUUAUUACAAUAUUUUACUGAGUAACUAGGAUGAACUUUCUUAUUAGACCCUUGAUUUAUGCCCUUGCUUACCUUAUUUUUCUUGAUUAAUGGAGUUAUUAUUAUAUCAAAGUGCAUAUUGUGAUCCCAGCAAUAAUUUCAAUACCAAUUGAGCACCAAAUUAGUAUUCUAUCCUUUGUGAGGAUAUAAUUGUGGUUUAUAGAUGCUUAUGAUUAUAUAGCUUGGAUAAUGGUGAUGGCAUGCAUACUUUAGGCACAUUUGCAUUUACUUAGUGGUACGAUUCAACCUAAGUCCUUGAUUUUACUAUUUUUUUAAAAGGGAUUUAUUCUCAUUAUUCACUUUUAAAAUGAAUUCUUUUACGACGGGAAUCAUACCACCUUAUUUAAUAAUUUAUGAGCUUUUGAAACUAAAUAUGCAAUUCUAGAAAUUAAAUCGAGCAUGAUUAUAGUCCAUUAUUAAUCCACUCUUUUACCACUACUAUUUACUUUGAUUGAAGAAGAUUUUGACCCUUUAUACACUAUUAUGCCUAUUUAAUCCCAAACUUGAUCUUAGGAAAUGGAUUUAUAGAUUUACACUCUUUUAGUCUCAGUUCAGAACUGAGAAAUUAUCAUAUAUUUAUAUUUAUUUGGUAGUGGAUGGAGUAGAUUGACUAUGAUGAUUAUUGGAAGUCCUAGUUUGGGACCAGGUAGUGUAGAUUGAUAUCCUAGUUUGGACCCUUAGAAGAAUUUCCUUUGUUGAGGUUUCUAGGAAGGGUACGACUCAUGAGUACUAGUUGUACCCUAGGAUACAACCUAAGGCCCUCUGUCUCAUAUGUUGAUUAGUGUUUAUUGCAUAAAAUAUGUCCAAGAUAUAGUUUAGCCUUUCCCUAGUCGUAUGUUAGGGUACGAGUCAUAUACUACCUAGUCAUAUGAAGUGUUGGUCUUGAUCGAGUGGUCACUGACUUGGAUACGAGUUGCAAGGUACCACUCGUACCUUUGGGAACAAUUCAUGCAUAUAUGGUCAUAUAUUGGGAAGAUUAGGGGUCCAUGGUAAGGCCUAGGGUAUGAGUUAGGGUACCACUCAUACCCUAGGGUAUGGUUUGGUAAGGGAGUCAUACCUUCCUGGGAGUGCAUUUUUAGCUUUUAAGCUAAGAACUUUAUGGAUAUUUCCCACCUUAAAACCCUUAAGUCCCCUAACAAUAUAACAUGUUAUAGCCCCUCAUAACAUAUUUUGGAAGAUGAAAACUCACCAAAAACACUUUUAAACCGUCUCUCAACUUCUCUAAAGAGAUUGGGGUAAGGGUUUAUCAAAGAGGUCAUCUAGAGACUUAAGGACCAAGAAUCUCUUCGUGAAUCAUCUUGUAUAAGGCAUGUGAUUCUUCCCCUAUCAUUAUUUCUCGAAUAUCAUGUUAUUUAAACAUUGUUUAUGAAUCAUUAAUAAUAGUUUUUGAAACAAGUGUUGAGUUUUUUUAUGUAUAGUUAUGGGUAAUGUUUUCUCUUGUUUAAACUUAUGACUAUACAUGUUUUUGGUGAUGGUUUACAAAUGUGAGUUCUUGUUGAUUGUGAUUUAACAAAUGGGUCAAGAGUAACCCUAAUAUUGAUGGUUUUCACUUGGGUUUUGGUCAUGUAAAGAGUGUGCCCUCAAGGUGUUUUUGGAAAUGUCGACUAGAAACAACUAGUCAAAUAUUGAUGGUGAUUUAAACUAAGGCAAUGCCUUAACGAGUCUUGUAAAGGCCUUGUUGGUCAUGUAAUGAGUUAGAUGGUGCCCUUGGUGAUUUGAUUAGUUAAAAAGGGGUUGGAGUCCCUAACACAAAGUCGAAUUGUGUUUGAACUAAAUCUUAGUAUAAGAAUGCUAAUAAGUAAUUUGAUAAAGGUCUUGAUGACCAUAAUUUGACUUGAAUAAUAUUUGAAACUAAUAUAUUGGCUUAUUAAAUGAAUUGAUUGAUAUAUUAUUCAUGAAGACCUUAUGGUCUUGUAUGAUGUUAAAUUAUGGCCUUAAUGCCUUAAAAUGAUUAGUCCCUAAAUUGAAUUGUGUGAUGUGAAUGCAUGGACAAAGGGUUAGAGUCCCAAUGUCAACUAGUAAUGGAUGCAAUGGCUUAUGGUUAGAGUUUACUUGAGUAAUCAAAUGGCUUAUGGUUAGAGUCUAUAUGCUUGGUAAAAUGGCUUAUAGUUAGAGUCUACUUGACUAAUAAAAGGCUUGUGGUUAUAUUCCACUUGCUUAGUAAGAUGGCUUGAGGUUAGAGUCCUCUUGCUCGAUAUAACCUAAGUGGUGGAAUGUUAGAGUCCUCUACUUCAUGGUUCAUAUUUGAGUGCUUUGAAAUGUAUGCUAAGGCCUUAUUAUCUAUUGAUACUUGAUGUAUCCAUAUGUAUUACCUAUCUAUGUGUAUAAAUAUGGUGGCUUAUGAUGGUUUGACUUGGUAAUGAAUAAUGACACUAUUUUAUCCUUUUCCUUGAAUUACAUGCUAUUUCUCUAACCGCUAACCAUCUUCAGACGUAGUGUCCUCAUGUGACACAGGGGCCAGAGCAUCUUUUUCUCUUCCUGUGCAGUGAUUAGGUGUUCGGGUAGUUUGAGUGUUGACAUUGAAGUGGUGAGCUUCCAUACUUUGGAAGGCGCACAUUUCAUGGUCUUCUUAGCUUAUGUCAAAGACUUAUUUUGGAUUCAGUUUUAGCUAUUGUGGAGAGCUUAUCCUGAUAUAUUAUUGACACCAAAUUUAUAGAGACUUGUGGAUGACUGUGGACUUAGGUAGAUUGGAUGUUAACUGCAGGUAUUAAUGAAUGACUAAACUUUUUUUAAGUUAUAAUUAUUAGUCUUUUUUCUACUAUCUCAUUAUAUCUUCAGAGUUUAUCCAAUACUUGUGGAUUGAUGUGAUGGUUGGGUCAGGUUAAAGGGGUGAUCUUCAUUUCUUGUUGGGCUUGAGAUGCCCAUAUGACAAAGGCUAGUUUUAGGUCAUGUCAAGUUGGUAUCAGAGCCUAGGUUCAUGGUCAGUUGGGUGUCCAUAAAUUUAUGUCGAGUAGAGUCUCUUUUAUAGGUGUGUAGUGCACCAAACUUAUAAGAGAGAGGAUAUAAGGCAUUCAGGAAAGUUUUACCUUCUUGUUGUCCAAUUUUGAGCUAUAGAGUUUAAGGUCUUGGAUCCUUUUGAUUUCCAUUUGCUCGUCUUUCAGAUCAUGCCUCCCAAAAGAUCUGAAGUUCUUACAAACCCUUCCAUCCCAACUAGGGAUGAUGUUGAUGGGACAUGCUCUACUUAUGGAGUCUAUACUCGGUCUAAGGGUCUGGUACCUGAUGGUUUAAGAGUUUUACCAGUUCCCUCUAGUCCUCCUUUGGUUCCUCAAGUUAAAGUGUCAAAUGUUAAGUUUUGUUAGUCGAUUCAUACUAUUGCUCAUCUAAUAGCUUCUCAGGCUAAGAGUGGUGAAUAUUUUACUCCAUCUUCUGAGGCCACAAGGGUUGGCUAUUUUAUGAGGUUUAGUCCUCCGACCUUUACCAGUGUUAAGGUAGAGGAAAAUCGUUAGGGUUUUCUAGAUUAGAUGGAAAAGAUUUUUAGAAUCAUGCAUGCCACUAAUAUAGAAGGGGUGGAGAUUGUAUCCUAUCAGUUGACAGACGUGGCGUACCAAUGGUAUGAGGAGUGGGAACGGACAAGGGGUAGUGUUGAUGAGUCAUCUUUAUGGGAGGAUUUCACUAAUGCUUUUCUAGAUUGCUUCGUUCCUCUAGCGUUAAAGUAAGCAAAGGUAAAGGAGUUCAUUAUUCUAAAUCAAGGAAAAAUAUCCAUCAAGGAGUAUGCUAUGAAGUUUUACCAAUUAUCUAGGUAUGCUCGGAGAUGGUGUCGGAUAUGAGAGCUUAGAUGAGAAAGUUCACCUCAGGAUUAUCUCUUAAGUUGGUCCCUAAGAGCAAAGCAACUGUGUUGAUCAAAGAUAUGGAUAUCUCUAGAUUAGUUAUGUACAUGCGACAAGUGGAGAAAGAAAAAAAAAAGUAGGUUGAGCUUAGUAAAACGCAAGGGAAGAGAUUUAGGCCUUUUAAUCAAAGUGGUGGAGAUGGUGGUAGGUGUCCAAGAGAAGAGAAAGGGAGUUAUGGUUUUUUCUCCUCGGCUAGUUCUUCUUACCCAAGGCUAUCGGGUGAUCGUUGGUCUUAGUUUAGUGGUGGAUUUUAGGUACAAGGUUCCCAAUCUCAGACUAGUGGAGCUCAGUCAGUUUUAUCCUACCCCUUUUAUAGAUUCUGUGGUCAGCAUCACCGUGUGUAGUGUGAGAAGGGGAGAAAUGAAUGUUUUAGAUAUGAUCAAAUUGGGCACAUAUAAUAAGAGUACCCCUCUCUAGUGGUUUCUUGGGCUAAUAAGGCCCCUAUUUCUACUUUAUUUGCUCCUGCACCGAAGGGUGCUGCUUUUGCUUCUACUUCUAUUUCUGCUACUGGCACUAGCCAAAAUCAUUUGUAUGCACUUGUUAUAUGCCAGGAUUUUGAGGCAUCUUCUAAUGUUAUUACGGGUAUGUUAAGAAUUUUCUCCUGUAAUGUGUACAGUUUAAUUGAUAUAGGGUCCACACUUUUUAUGUGACCCCAUUUAUUAUUGUGCAUUUUGGAUUUGGUCAUGAGUAUCUGUCAGUUCCUUUUUCUAUUUCUGCCCUGAUAUGAGACUCUGUGGUUGUCAAAAGAGUCUAUAAGGGAUGUGUGGUAGUUGUUGGUGGCAAAGAAAUCCCGGUAGACUUGAUAGAGUUAGACAUGGUUGAUUUUGAUAUUAUUCUGGGGAUGGAUUGGUUGUAUUCGUGCUAUUCUUGCUUAGAUUAUCAAACUCGUAGGGUCACAUUUAAAUUCUCUAAUGAGUCGAUCAUUGUAUGGGAAGGGGUUCUUUAGUUCCUAAGAUAAUAUUUAUCUCAUAUCUUAGAGCCCAAAAAAUGAUCUCUAAAAGGUGUUUGUAUCAUGUGGUCCGAGUUAGAGAUUCUAACUUGAAGGUCUUUCUCUAGAAUCAGUUCCCGUGGUUAAUGAGUUUCCCGAGGUCUUUCCUGAUGACCUUUCUAAUAUUCUUCCCAAUAGGGAAAUUGAUUUUAGGAUUGAUAUUAUAUCGAACACUCGUCCUAUCUCUAUCCCUCCUUAUAGAAUGGCUCUGGUGGAGUUGAAGAAGCUUAAAGAGCAAUUGAAAGAUCUCUUGGAUAAAGGUUUUAUCCAUCCUAGAGUGUCUCCUUGGGGUACUCCCAUGUUGUCUGUGCGUAAGAAGGAUGGUUCCCUUCGGAGAUGCAUUGAUUGUCGUCAGUUGAACAAGGUGUCCAUAAAGAAUAAGUAUUCUCUUUUUAGGAUCAAUGAUUUAUUUGAUCAGCAUGAAGGUGCAAAGUGGUUCUCUAAGAUUGAUCUUAGGUCGAGUUAUCAUCAGCUUAAGAUUAGGGAAGUGGAUAGCCCUAAGACUGUCUUUAGGACCCGGUAUGGUUAUUAUAAGUUCCUAGUCAUGUCUUUUGGGUUGACCAAUGGCCCAAUGACAUUCAUAGAUAUGAUGAAUAGGGUCUUCCGUCCGUUCCUAGAUUUGUUUGUCAUUGUCUUCAUUGAUGACAUCUUGGUCUAUUCUAAGAGUAAGGUGGAUCAUGUUGAUCACCUUCGUGCCGUGUUGCAAACUCUGAAGGAUCAUCGUUUGUAUGCCAAGUUCUCAAAGUAUAAGUUUAGGUUGAAUGUUAUAACUUUUCUUGGAUAUAUUAUCUCUAGUGAAGGGAUCAUGGUGGAUCCACAAAAGGUUGUGGCAUUUAAGAAGUGGCCUUGACUUGUGACUCCAACCGAUACUCGGAGCUUCUUAGGUCUAGCCGAUUAUUAUAGGAUAUUUGUGGAGAGUUUUUCAAUGAUAGAUACCCCAUUAACUAUGUUAACCCAGAGAAGGUCAAGUUCUUAUGGUCAGAUAUGUGUGAGGGUAGUUUUAAAAAGUUGAAUAAUAAAUUGACUUCAGCUCUGGUUUUGACCUUCCCUGAGGGAAAUGAUGGUUUUGCUGUAUAUUGUAAUACUUCUCAUAUUGGGCUUGGUUGUGUAUUGAUACAGCAUGGUAGGAUGGUGGCCUAUGCUUCUAGUCAAUUGAAAGUUCAUGAGAAGAACUGCCCUACUCAUGAUUUAGAAUUAUUAGCUAUGGUUUUUGCAUUAAAGAUUUGGCGUCACUAUUUCUAUGCGGUUCAUGCUGACAUAUUUUCUGACCAUAAGAGCCUACAGCAUGUGUUUACUCAGACGGAGUUAAAUCUCAAGCAAUGGAGAUAGCUUGAGUUAUUAAAGGACUAUGAUAUGAGUCUCCACUACCAUCCAAGUCAAGCUAACAUUGUUGUUGAUUCUCUUAGCAGGUUAUCCAUAGGGAGUUUGUCUCAUAUUAAUGAGGAUAAGCAGGAGUUGGUGAAAGACAUUCACUAAUUAGCUAGUCUUGGAGUUCAUCUCACGAACUCGAAGGAUGGUGGUGUGUUUGUACAUCUGGUGUCACAGUCAUCUCUUGUGAUUUAGGUAAAGGAAAAGCAAAUGUUGGAUCCCGACAUGAUGAAGACUAAGAGCAAUAUGAUUCAACAAAAGGUUUUUAACUUUGUGAUUAAUGAUGAUGGUAUCUUGAGGUACCAAGGUAUGCUAUGUGUUCCUAAUGUUGAUGGAUUGAGGGAAAGGAUUAUCGCCGAGGCUCAUGGAACGUGGUAUGCUAUUAAUCCCAGUUCUAUGAAGAUGUAUCAUGAUCUUAGGUAGUUUUAUUGGUGGAAUAAUAUGAAAUGAGAUAUGGCUAGUUAUAUGGCUAAGUGUAUGGUGUAUCAACAAGUGAAAGUUGAGCACUUAAGACCUGAUUGUAUUAAGAGAUAGAGUGUCUCGAAUGGAAGUAGGAAGUGAUUUAUAUGGAUUUGGUCACUGAUCUUCCCCGAUCUCUGAAUCAAUGUUAUUCUAUUUGGGUUAUUAUGGAUAGAAUUAUCAAGUUCGCUUAUUUCUUGUCAAUAAGGACUAGUUAUUCGGCGGAAGAUUAUGCUAAGUUGUAUCUUGCGGAGAUUAUGAAGCUGCAUGGUGCUCCAGUUUCUGUCAUCUCGGAUCGUGGUACUCUAUUUUCAUCUCAUGUUUCAGAAGUCAUUUCAGAAAGGUUUGGGAACUAAGGUGUUCCUUCGUACCGCUUUCCACCCAUAAAUGGAUGGACAAGCGGAAAGGACUAUCCAAACAUUGAAAGAUAUGUUGCGUGCUUAUGUGAUUGAUUAUGGUGGCAGUUGGUACAACUCUUUACCUUUCAUUAAGUUUGCUUAUAACAAUACUUAUCACUCUAGUAUUUGUAUGGCUCCAUUUCAAGAGUUGUAUGGUAGGAGGUUUCGAUCUCCUAUAGGGUGGUAUGAGGUUGGUGCGGGUAAAAUGUUUGGCCCCGAUUUGAUUCAUCAAGCCUUCAAAAAGGUGAAAGUGAUUCGUGAUAGGUUGAAAGCCGCUCAAACUCACCAAAAGUCCUAUGCGGAUGUAAGGCGUAGGGAUUAAGAAUUUAAUGUUAGUGAUUGGGUAUUCUUGAAGGUAUCUCCCGUGAAGGGAAUGAUGCAGUAUGGCAAUAAGGGAAAGUUGUGUGCUUGGUAUGAUGGCCCAUAUUUGAUUUUGAAGAGGGUUGGCAAUGUCACCUCUGAAUUGGAGUUUCCCUCUAGUUUGAUGUCCAUCCAUCCGGUAUUCCAUGUGUCCAUGUUGUGAAAAUGGAUAGGCGAUUCUUCAUUGGUUGUCCCCUUGGAGGGUGUUGGUAUUUCAAACUCUUUGUUGUAUGAGAAGGUCCCAGUAAGGAUCUUGGUUUGCCGAUUGCAAAUAAAAGAGGUGGCUUCGGUGAAGAUUUUGUGGAGGAACUAAUAGUCCGAGGAAGCUACUUGGAAGGUGAAAGAGGACAUGAAGCCCAAGUAUCCGCAUUUUUUUUCGUUCUGGAAACUCGUGUAUAAGGUAUUUGUUAAUCUUUUUAACUUGAUUUAUGUCUUUGAUAGACCAUGGGUUCAAGUCCCUAAAUUGUGAAUUGAGCAAGUGUUUUGGUAGACAUUAGGUUCGAGUCCAAAUGUCAAUUGAAUGAAUGAUUUAUUGAUAAUGAUCAUGGCAUGUGUCUUAUCCUUGUUGUAUGGCUUUAGGUUCUAAUGAGGUUAAAAGUUAGUUUUAAUAUGUAAUAGUGUGUUAAAUCAUGCUUGUGUUUGCCUUACCCGUCAUUCGAGGACAAAUGAUCCAAGUGGGGGAGAAUUGAAACACCUGGACUUUGGACCCUUGGAAGAAUUUCCUUGGUUGAGGUUUCUGGGUAGGGUACGACUCAUGGGUACUAUUCGUACCUUAGGAUACGACCUAAGGUCCUCUCUCUUGUAUGUUGAUCAGUGUUUGUAAGGUACAUUCUUUCCAAGAUACAGUUUAGCCUCUCCCUAGUCAUAUGUUAGGCUACGGGUCAUAUACUACCUAGUCGUAUAAAGUGUUGGUCUUGAUCUAGUGGUCACUGACUUUGAUAUGGGUUGCAUGGUACCACUCGUACCUUUGGGUACAAGUCAUGAAUGUUUGGUUGUAUGUUGGGCAGAUUAGGGGUCCAUGGUGAUCCCUAGGGUACAAGUUAGGGUACUACUCGUACCCUAGGGUACGAUUUAGUAUGGGAGUCGUACCCUCCUGGGAGUGCAUUUUUAGCUUUUAAGCUGAGGACUUUAUGGACAUUUCUUACCCUAAAACCCUUAAGUCCUCUCACUAUAUAAAAUGUUAUAGACCCUCAUAGCACAUUUUGGAAGAUCUAACCUCACCAAAAACACUCCUAAAUCCUCUCUCAACUUCUCUAACAAUAUUGGGGUUAGGGUUUAUCAAAGAGGCCAUCUAGAGACUUAAGGACCAAGAAUCUCUCUGUGAAUCAUCUGUAUAAGGAAUGUGACUCUUCCCCUAUCAUUAUAUCUCAAAUAUCAUGUUAUUUAAACAUUGUUUAUGAAUCAUUAAUGAUGGUUUUUGAAACAAAUGUUGAGAAUUUUGAUGUAUAGUGAUGGGUAAUGUUUUCUCUUAUUUAAACUUGUAAUUAUACAUGUUUUUGGUGAUGGUUUGCACAUAUGGGUGCUUGUUGAUUGUGAUUUAACAAAUGGGUCAAGAGUAACCCUAAUAUUGAUGGUUUUCAUUUGGGUUCUUGUCAUCUUAAGAGUAUGCCCUCAAGGUGUUUAUGAAAAUGUCUACUAGAAAUAACAAGUAAAAUGUUGAUGUUGAUUUGAACUAAGGCAGUGGAUUAAAGAGUCUUGUAAAUUCUUUGUUGGUUAUGUAAUGAGUUGGAUGGUGCCCUUGAUGGUUUUAUUUGUUAAAAAUGGGUUAGAGUCCCUAACACGAAGUUGAAUUGUGUUUAAACUAAAGCUUGGUGUAAGAAUGCUAAUGAGUGAUUUGAUAAAGGUCUUGAUGACCACAAUUGACUUGAAUAAUAUUUGAAACUAAUGUAUUGGCUUAUAAAAGUGAUUGGUUGAUAUAUGAUUCAUGAUGACCUUACGGUCAUGUAUGAUGUUGAAUUGUGGCCUUGAUACCUUAAAAUGGUUAAAUGGGUUAGUGUCCCCAUAUAUGAAUGGUGUGAUGUGAAUGCAUGGAUAAAGGGUUAGAGUCCCAAUGUCGACUAGUAAUGGACGCGAGUAAUGGAUGCGAUGGCUUAUGGUUAAAGUCCACUUGCGUAAUGAAAUGGUUUGUGGUUAGAGUCCACAUGCAUAAUGAAAUGGCUUGCGGUUAGAUUCCAAUUGACUAAUAAAAGGCUUGUGGUUAGAGUCUACUUGCUUAAUAAUAUGGCUUGAGGUUAGAGUCCUCCUGAUCGAUAUAACCUAAGCGAUGGAAGGUUAGAGUCCUCUACUUCAUGGUUUGUGUUUGAGUGCUUUGAAAUGUAUGCUAAGGCCUUGUUAUCUGUUCACACCAUACUAUCCACAUGUAUUACCUGUCUAUGUGUAUAAAUGUUGUAGCUAAUGAUGGUUUGACUCGUGAUUGAAUAAUGACACUAUUUUAUCCUUACUCUUAAGUUAAAUGCUAGCGUUCCAACCGCUAACUGAUAAUACUCAACUUACACGUCUAAUUUAGUGCAAGGCAGUCAUUGUCAAUAUAUUUACCCAACUAAGAGUCGAGGUCGAAUCCAUGAGGAACAAUGUAAGUGGUGAUUAGGUAAGUUCGGAAUUAUAAUUUUUCGCUAAGUUCAAACCUAUGAUACAAGAUGGUUUGGGGGUUUUCAAUCGUGUUGAAUAUGAAUGCAACUCUUGGGCUUCUAGGGGACUAAUUCGAGACUAAGAACAAUUAGAGUGUAAUCAAUUAAAAUGGAUCUUGGGACUAUUCCUUCCUAGGGACAAGAUGUGCAUGGUAACAUGAUAAUUUGAUGCAAAUUCUAAUCAUUGAUGAUGUGGUGAGCUAGGUCUAAAGUCAUUGAGGCUAGCUUUUCAACAAAACCACAAAGAUUUCACCUAUUGGCUCUUUCGAGCAUCUAACAAAUGUGUCAAUCAAAACCACCCACUACCUUGAUUAGGCACUCCUAUUUCUAGGAUGGUUCCCAAAGGAUAGUUAACCUCAUAUUCACCCUAAUUUCUAAGAUAGUGAAAAGUAGUAAACUAUGCCCAUAAAUUGUCUACUAUUGCCUUGGUUCCCACAUCCCUCUUUCAAGGAUGAUGUGAUUUCCUAAAGUUCACCCAAAACCCUUCUUUUGAAGAUGGAUUAGAGCUUUCUAGAGUUAAGAGUGUUCACCCAUCAAACCCAUGUGGAUAUUUGGGACUUUCACCCACAAAUCCCAACCAAUCUAAUGAAGCAAUAAAAGAACCAAUCAUCAACAAACUAGACUCUACGCAAAUACAUCACAAUCCACACAUAUUUGCAUCCUUAUCAAGCACAACCCCAAGAGGUAGAUCAAGCGAAUAAUAAUGAUAAUAAACACAAAUAAAUCAAUAUUCUUAUCAAAAUUAUCCAUAAGAAAAUAAAGAGAUGGCAAACCACACUUUCAAAUCCAAUGAAUCUUAAAUAGGUGAUUCCAAAUCUAUACUUAAAAAUCAUCUAAUGUCUUCUUAGCUCAAGAUUAGUACAAGUUUAUCCCCAAGAUCCAAGAAAUUUCAAAAACCCUAAACUAAGGAUGGGAAGUAGGGUUGUGGAUUGAUGUUUUGGAUUAAGGUUUGAGUCUUCUUUUGUUAGGUAAAUUUGGGAUAGCUUCGUACAUUUAUAGUUUUGCCCUUGGGCUGAAAUUUCGCUAGGCCAUGUCACGGUAUCUUUAACAUGACCGUGGUACAACAACCGCAGGUAAUUCCACUUGAUCGUGGCACUUUGACCUUCUUGACUCAGAGCGAUCGCGGGCCGACACUCACGAUCACGAUAAUUGAGGCCAUGUUCUGGUCCUGGUCUUCAACUGCACUUCUUUGCUUCCUUUUGUUUCUUUUUAUAGCUUCAAUCCACAUUUUUCAUCUCAUCACCUUUGUGCCUGCAAAAUAUGGAUAUUAGUGCAUUCAAUCACAAUUAUGUCUCACAUAUUCAUUCAAAACAAGGUAAGGUGAACAAAUGAUGAGUGUGAAUGAGUGGUAAAAUCACCACUCAUCACUAACCAUCUCUGGACAUUAUGUCCCCACGCGACACAAGGGUCGGGGCUUCUUCUUCUCUUUCUUUGCAAUGAUCAGGUGUUCGGGUGGUUCAAAUAUUGACAUUGAAGUGGUUCGCUUUCAUCCUUCAAAAGGCACUUAUUUCAUGGUCUUCUUAGCUUAUGUCAUAGACUUAUUUUGGAUUCGUUUUUCGCUAUUAUCGGGGUCUUGUCCGGAUAUAUUAUUGACUCUGAAUUUAUAGAGGCUUGUGGAUAACUGUUGACUUGGGUAGAUUGGAUGUUGAAUGUUGAUAUUAAUGAAUGGCUAAACUUUCUUAAGUUAUGAUUAUUAGGCUUGUUUUCUCUAUCUCAUUAUAUGUUCGGAGCUUAUCCGGUGCUUGUGGAUUGAUGUGAUGGUUGGGUCGGGUUAAUUAGGCGAUCUUCGGUCUUUGUUGGGCUUGAGAUGACCAUAUGACAAGUCCUAGUUUUGGUUCUUGUCAAAUGGUCCCUUUGUCUGUGAGUUACAAUAUCAGAGAAGAGUGGUUAUCGUAGGUCCUGCCUUUGCAAGCUACUGACUGGAGGAGUUGUAUACAAAUGGUACAUUGUGACACUUAAUUGGUUGAUGGUACUGGAUUACUCUUGAAUUCAUUUAUUCAUAUACAUCACCUAUUACUAAUAUGAUUGUUUGAUGCUUAUAUCUAUCGGCCAUAUGAGGGGAUGUAUAGAUAUAAGCUUUGAUUGAUGUUUGUUGAGUAGUGCUUGAACCUUUUGGGCUUAUGGGGGCCUGAUUAGGUUAUUAUUUGUCUGAACUAGUCGGUUACUUUAUUGUUGCCUAUUAUGGCUAGUUUGUGGCAGAAUGAUUGUGGACUAGUACUCGAGAUUAUCAGUACAUUUCUAAUUUCUUUUCUUUCUCAUAGUAAGAUAUAUUAUUGUUAGAAUAUCUAAUGCUUGGUGAUCCUUUGUCCAGAGACCUUGAUUAUGCUAGUAUUAGAUUUCCUUCUUGGCUAGGAUUCCUUGAGAUCUCUCUCGGGUAUUUUCCUUUGAGCUUAGUCCUAUAUAUGUAUAUAUUAAAUGGUAUUACCGUAUAUCUCUCUCUUUCCUUAUCUAUUCGUAUUUUAUAUGUAUCUUUUGGCCAUGUAUUACUACUAUGUAUUCUUCUUCCACCCUUCAUUUGUAUAUUGGCUAGUGAUAUGCGGUAUUGCACUUUAGUUCUUGAAUACUAUUAGAAUACGAUAGGCUUAUCCUUAUUGCUCCCUUAGAAUUAUGUUUAGUUUCUUGGAUAGUUGACACGACCCUAACCGUUGCCUUGUCGUAAUGGGCAUCUUAAGUCCAACCAGGACCGGAGACCAUCCUCGUAACCCAAUCCAACCAACAAACAUAUAUCUUGUGUCGGAUGAAUUCCAAACAUAUAACAAAAUGACGUAUUCAAUAAUGUAAAAACUUUAGGAUAAGUCUAUAUCCGAGACCAACCUGACCAAGUCAAUCUAUCAAAUAACCAACCAACCAAACCAAACACGAUAACUCAAUGUAUGUAAUAUAUAAAUCGUAACUAUUCCGUACCCAAGUACACAAUUGUCCAUACAAAGCCUCUAACCCAAACAAAGGGUAUCUAGUCGGGACAUGCCCCCGGCCAUAGCCAUAAAUCAAAGUCUAUGAAAAGACAAAAGUAAGUAAAGUAAUCCAUGACGUGAUAUGGAUGCCUUCUGAACUAUGGAAGCUUACUACUUUGAUCCAACACCGACUGUUUCCGAUCCGAUCAAUAAGCAGGAGGAGGAGUAUGGACGGUUCCUGCAUCGCGUGGGGAUACAGCCGCCCGAUGAUAGGAUAGCGAAUUAAUGCUAGCAAGUACUCAAUAUAAGGAUAAAAUAAUGCCAACCUUUAAAACCAAGUAAACAAACCAUAUGUAUUCAAAAACAUACAUACAUACAUACAUAUAUAUAUAUAUAUCCAGUCAGGAAAGGGAACCGGGUUUAACAUGCCUUUAAAACCAUUAACCUAGGUAUGUGUAUCGUAACCAUCAUAAUUCCACUCAUGGGCUAUAUGGGUCCAGUGUCACCUCUGGACGAGCCCCGAUGUGUGUAGCCGCACGAACCGGAGAUACCACAGGAGUAGGGGAUUCUCGUGUACCAUUUGCUCUCAAUGAUACAUUUAUACAAGUGUUAGGGAUUCCCGUGAACCCCUCAAGUAUAGGGUCGCCAUGCCCAAUCCUCAUGUUGGCAAACAUAAGUCUCUAGUGUCUGUCCAUUGGACUCACACCUUCACGGUUAUCUAUCACACCCUACCAUUAUUGCCUAAUUAAAACCAUUACCACACAACCAAACCAUUAUUCCAUUUAUUAUUAACGAAGGAUAUCAUUAGUGGUAUCGUCAUACCGAAUUAAGCUUACAAGCAAUGUCUUUAGCCAACCUUAAGGGAUUCCUAUGUACCCCAUAGUUACAUCAUUAAGUUUACUUGGGGGAUUCCAUGUACCCCGAAAGCAUAUCAUUAUUAAGUUUACUUGGGGGGUUCCGGUGUACCCCACAAGUAUAUCAUUAUUAAGCUUUGCUUGGGGGAUUCCCUUGUACCCCACAAGACGUUCAUCAUUCAAACCAUUUUCAUUAUGCAUUUACUUGGGAGAUUCUCGUGCACCCUACAAGGUUUUCAUUCAAAUCAAUUUCAUAGCCACCAAGGCCUUACCAUUUAACCAUUCCAAACGAUGCAUACCGUUUAAAACCAUUUUAACCAUUUAAACCAUUUUAGCCAUACAAAACUAUUCAAACUAAUACAAAACCAUUUAAACCCAUGCAAAAAUCAUCCAAACCAAUUUAGGGUUCCAUUACCAAGCCAUACCAUGCAAAAACCAUCCAAACCAAUUUAGGGUUCCAUUACCAUACCAUACCAUGCAAUAACUUCAAUAAAAGAUCAACAAUAGAGUAAAACGUUCUCAUAGGCAUUUUAUCAAACAUGUUGAAGGCAUACCUUUACCAAGACCAAAACUAAAGCAUAAACCAUCAAGUUUAGGGUUACCUAUGACCCUUUUGUUAAACCCUAAUCAAUAAACACCCACAUGUGCAAACCAUCCCCAAAAUAUGUGAAAAUAUAGUUUAAGCCAAUAGUAAACAAUACCCAUCAAUAUGCAUCAAAACCUUCAACAAUGGUUUUCAAAACCACCAUUCAUGAUACACAAUCAAUAUUUAAAAAACAUUAAAAAUCUCCGUUAGUUGGAACAAACAAUGAGGGAGGAGUAACUUGCCUUAUACAAGAAGAUUCGAGGAAAGAACUUGACCCCUUUAGCCUGUAGAUGAACACCUCUUGAAACCCUAGCCUCCAAUCUUUAAGAGAGAGUUAGAGAGUGUUUUUGGAAUGUUUUAAUAGUCCAAUGAGUGUUAUGACAGGCCACAACAUGAUAUAUAACGUGGGGACAUAAGGGUUUUGGGAUGGGAAAUGUCCAGACUACACUCAGCUUAAAAGCAGAAAUUAUGCACAUAGGAGGGGAUGACCCACCCCUCUAAACCAUACCCUAGGGUAUGAGUGGUACCCUUACUCGUACCCUAGACCUCACCUUGAUCCCCUAUACUGACAAUCACACGACCACCUAGGGUUAACUCGUACCCCAAGUGUGAAAAGUACCCAUAUUCCGUACCUUGGACAGAUUCAACUAGUCUAAACUUUGGCGAUCAUACACCUCGUAUACUACCAUACGACCAGUAUGAUGCUCAGUCGUAUCUUGGAUAAAAGCCAACCCAAAUACACUAACUAACAUAUGAGAGAGGGGACACCCAAUUGUACCAUACUAUACGAGUAGUAUGCCCAAAUAGUACCUUUUCAAGAAUGUUCAAACUCAAGAAAUUUUUGCAAGGGCCAAGGUUUAGGGUGUUUCAUUCUCCCCCACUUAGGAUAAUUCAUUCUUGAAUGAUGGGUAAGGCAAGAACGGGCAUGAGAUAACACAUUAACACACAUCAAACUUCUCUCCAACCCAAAUAGAAGAUCAAGACAUAAAUCAAGAUGAGAAGAUCAUCACAUACUGAAAGCAUUAUUUACACCCCAACACCUUCAUUCCAACUUUUAUCUACCUUUGAGAACAAAGAUGUGAUAAAGAACACAUAUCUUAUGCAUGAGUUUUCAGAACGAAGAACCAAUGCGGAUACUUGGACUCUAUGUCCUUCUCCACAUCCCAAAUGGCAUUCUCAAACUUUUAUUUCCACCAUAUAACCUUCACCGAAGCCACACCUUUUAUUCGCAAUUGGUGAACUUGCCAACCCAAGAUCCUUACCGGGACCUCCUUAAAGAACAAAGAAUCUUAGACAUCAAUACCACCCAAAGGAACCAACCGACAAAGAAACAUCCACAACUUACCUUAUCACAAACAAAUGAAACACUAGAUAAAUGGAACUCAUGCUAGAGAGCAAGUGUAAUUCAACUUACAAUUCCCCAGAGACACAUUACCAAGAGAGCCAGAGUCUAGCUAUACACCACUUUCAUGUUCAAUCCUAUCCAAAGCAAAAGGAGUUAACUUAGGCCGCAGGACUCCAUUUGUUACAUCCACCCAAAAUACUAUUUUGCUUCCACCAAGAUUUUAAGUAACUAACACAACGAUCAGUAUAUCUAUCAACCACAACAUUCAAGCUUACCUCUUUUAUUCCAGCGGUACUGCCUAUCCGUCCAAGGACUUAGCAAACUCUAUUAUUUUACCACAAAGAUCAUCACCACUUAUUUCUCUCCUAACCAUUCCUUAUGACAACAACCUUACCACACCCUCCAAACCCUUAUCUCUAGAAGUCACCCCAAACUCUUCCCCGUGUAGGUAUUUUUACCUCCCAAUCAUUUUAAAACACCAUUACACCUCCACAGCCACUAUUAUCCUAACAUAAAGAGGGUCAUUAAGUAACUAAAGUAAAAGAAUUCUCAUUCCUCGUAAAGCAACACCUUCAAAAUGAGACUGGUACAAUAGGCACGAAGUACUUCAUAUCAACUACCUAGGUUAUAAAUGAAGAAACAUCCCGACAAAAACAUACCAUUGUAGGAGUCCUUAGAACUGGACAGCAAAAUACACAUGACUGCAUACAUCAUAGGUAAUGCGACAUAAGUUUAAGAUUCAUAUCCAUGGAACAAGGCGAAUGCAGAAUGAGAACCUUAAGCAUAAGCUCUAUUAGAAUGCAUGCAAAUCUAGGAAAGUGCUCUCUUAACCGAGAUAAAAGAGAAUCACUAGAAUAUGCACCCCAACAUUCCCUAGAAGUCCACUGCUAGCAGAAAAUCUAAGAUUAACCCUCGACUUCACCUUACUAUACUUAAAGCACAACACUCCACUCUAAGGGGUAUCACCAAGAAUGUUCACCAAGGAUGAUUGGUGGUGAUAUACCUAAACCCUCAUCCAUCCAAAUGCUACCUAGAGCCUAGCAUAGUCAUCCAAAAUCUAUGCUCUAACCUAACCAAUGACCUAACCACCAACCCACUAGUUCAACCUAAACCAUCAUCCUAUAAGCCAUAACUUUCCCCUAUUGCAUUCUCAAGUCACCAACCUUGCCCCUUCUGCAUACCUCAUCCAACCUACCAAUCUACCUCCAUAGUUUUUGCAUUUCUAUCCCUGAGCUAACACACUUUCUUCAUCAAUAUCAACAUCUAAGAUUCACACUUAGCAUCUAUUAAUCACCAGGCACUACCUAAUAAAGCACCCCAUAUAGACUAUACAUAUAUGGUUCACCCCACAAGAAGUCACUCUGAAAUUUCUAUUACCCACCAACAACUUAUGCAUCCCCAAGGAAAACCAUCUCCCUUAUGCAUAAAGGAAAGGAAACACUCCACGAAAAACCACUACGAUGGGUGAAACCUUUAUCUAAGAAAUACCCUAAUUGCCCUUUAAUCUCCUUUGGCUCAACCGAAACCAUUCUAUAAAGUAAGAAUAGAAAUUGGACAAGUGUCCAAAACAAAACCAAUCCACAACUCAAUCUACCUAUUAGAAGACACCAUGAGGGUCAUUAGGAAGGAUCUCAGGUAUACUCAUUCACCACCAAAACCGAAUACAAAUAAGAACUUUUGAGUUAGAAUCUCUUGCCUAGACCAGAUGAUAAAGACACCCCAUUUUGGAGAUUAAUCUCUAAGCUCUAAGAUAUGAGAUAACCUUUUCCCUAAUAGCUAGGGAAUGUAACCAUCCUUUUAUCCCAUCACCGACUCACCACAGAGCCUAAGGACAACCUUAUGGGUCCGAUGGUCUAAUAAUGCAUAGCAUGAGUGUAACUAAUCCAUCCCAGAAUAACAUCGAAAUCUAUACUAUUUGAUUCAAAUAAUUCCACCGGAGUUUUCUUAUCACCAACAAAUACCACACAUACCUUAUAGAUUUUUUGGCAAUCACAAAGUCACCUAUCGAGGUAGAAAAUAUAAAGAGGGUCCAAAACAUACUCUGGACCAAAACUAAUAUGCACAACCUCAAAUAGGGUCACAUGAAAGAGAAGGGACCCCAGACAAAGUAAACUAUACACAUCAUAAGAAAAGAGUUCAUAACAUACCAGUGUUAGUAUCAAAAGAUGUCUCAAACUCCUGAGGGAUAGUGACAUCAUUGAGAUGAUCCUAAAAAGUACUGGAGCCAAAAGCAACAUCCCUCGGUGCGAGAGCUAAAGAAAUGGUAACCAGUGUCCUAUUUGCCUAAGCAAAAAUCAUUAUGGGGUACUCCAAUUGUAUAUAACUAAAUUGACCGUAAUUCAAACAACAAUUCCUACUUUUCUCACAACAACUAUGGUGCGAUCGACCACAAAACUAACAAGAGGGAUAGGAUGGUAUAGAUUGGGCCCUACUGCCCUAAGAUUGGGCACUAUGUGCCCUAGAAGCAUUACCAAUUGGAAAAUAUCUAUCUCUCAAUGGCUUCAGGUAGGGAGCACUAGCCAUAAAAUAAGAGUUAGGACCCACCCAACUCUUUAUCUUGGAUGAGUUACCACCAUACCGUUGACCUCUAUUUUGUUCAAAAAAUUAAGACCUCUUACUCUGCCUAUUUCUUGACCUUGCCUUAUUCUCCCCCGUACCAAUAGGAUCAAACUGGCAUAGUAGAGUUGUCACUAUCUGGGUCAAUAGAUGAAUAAAAUGUCAAAACUUGACAUUGGUAACCUCUUCUUAAGGUAACUAAACAUGAGUGCCACUUUUCAUAGAAGGGUCAACGAAGACCGAUGGAACUAUACAGGGAAAAUUAAAAACUGCAACCCUUGACCGGGUCUGUGCCCCAUGAGUUGGAUGAGAUCAAUCCAUGUUAUCCUAAAGUGGGACAGGUGAGUUUUCAUAACUUCAGAUUGCUGAGAGGACAUGAUCUGAAAAGUGAAACAAAGGAAAAUUUAGGAAAGAAUUCAAGACCUUAGACUCCAUAGUCCGAAAAUAGAACAACAAGAAAGUGAAACAUUCCCAAAUGCCUUGUAGCCUCUUGAUUAAAAGUGUGGUGCAUAACUCACCUAUAAGCAACACCCUACUCAACACAUCUUUAUGGACACCCCAUGACACCAAAACCUAGGCUUCGAUACCAACUUUACACGACCCAAACUGAGGCCUUAUCGUAAUGGGCAUCUCAAGUCCAACUAAGAUCAGAGACCACCCCUAUAAAUAAUUUGCAUUGGAUAAAUUCCGAACAUAUAACAAAAUGGUGUAUUCAAUAAUGUAACGACUUUGGGAUAAGUCUAUAUCCGAGACCAACCCGACCAAGUCAAUCCAUCUAAUAACCAACCAACUAAACCAAACACGAUGACUCAAUAUAUGUAAUAUAUGAAUCAUAACCAUUCAGUACCCAAGUCCACAGUUGUCCAUACAAAGCCUCUAAACCAAACCAAAGAGUAUCUAGUUGGGACAUGCCCCCAACCAUAGCUAAAAACCAAAGUCUAUGGAAAGACAAAAGUAAGUAAAGUAAUCCAUGACAUAAAAUGGAUGUCGUCCGAACUAUGAAAGGUCACCACUUCGAUCUAACAUCGACUUUUCUAGAAUCUGAUCAAUGAGCAUGAGGAGUAGUAUGGUCAGUUCCUGCAUCACGUGGGGAUAUAGCCGCCCAAAGAUGGGUUAGCGGAUGAACACUAAAAAGUACUCAGGAUAAGAAUAAAAUAAUGUCAAUCUUUAAAACCAAGUAAAACAACCUUGUAUAUAUGUAUCAUUGAGAGUGAAGGGUACACGGGAAUCUCCUACUCCUAUGGUAUCUCUGGUUCAUGUGGCUACCCACAUCGGGGCCUGUCCGGGGGUGACAUUAGACCCAUAUAGCCCGUGGGUGGAUUAUGAUGAUUAUGCUACACAUACCCAGAUUAAUGGUUUUAAAGGCAUGUUAAUCCCAGAAAAGAAAAUCAGGUUUAGCAUGCCUUUAAAACCAUUAACUCGGGUAUGUGUAGCGUAACCGUCAUAAUCCACCCAUGGGCUAUAUGGGUCUAUUACCAAACUAUACCAUGCAAAAACCAUCCAAACCAAUUUAGGGUUCCAUUAAUAAACCAUACCAUGCAAUAGCUUCAAUAGAAGUUCAACAAUAGAGUAAAAUAAUCUCAUAGGCAUUUUAUCAAACAUGUUGAGGAAAUACCUUUACUAAGACCAAAACCAAAGCAUAAACCAUCAAUUUUAGGGUUACCAAUGAUCCAUUUUUUAAAACACAACCAAAAAACACCCACAUGUACAAACCAUCACCAAAACAUUUGACAUAAUUAAGCCAAUAGUAAACAAUAUGCAUCAAAACCUUCAACAUUAGUUUUCAAAACCAUUAUUCAUGAUCCACAAUCAAUAUUUAAAACACAUUAAAACAUUAAUUUAACUGGAACUAACAAUGAGGGAGGAUUAACUUGCCUUAUACAAAUAGAUUCACGAAAACAACUUAACCCCUUUAGCCUCUAGAUAAACAUCUCUUGAAACCCUAGCCUCCAAUCUUCAAGAGAGAAUUAGAGAGUAUUUCUAGAAUGUUUUUAUCUUCCAAUGAGUGUUAUGAGAGGACACAAUAUGAUAUAUAACAUGGGUACAUAAGGGUUUUGGGAUGGAAAAUGUCCAGACUACACUCAGCUUAAAAACUGAAACUAUGCACGUAAGAGGGUAUGACCCACCCCUCUAAACCAUACGCUAUGGUAUGAGUGGUUUCCUUACUCAUACACUAUAUCUAACCUUGAUACCCUAUACUGACCCAUUAUAUGACCACCUAGGGUUAACUCGUACCCCAAGGUAUGAGACGUACCCAUAAUUCAUAACUUGGACAGAUUUAACUAGACCAAAUCUUCAUCAUCAUAUGACUUGGCAUCAUACACCUCAUAUUCUUCCAUACAACCAGUAUGAUUCUUAGUCAUAUAUUUGACAAACCAACCCAAAUAAACUGACUAACAUAUGAGAGAGGGGACACCUAGUCGUACUAUAGUAUACGAGUAGUAUGCCCAAACUGUACCUUAUCCAAAAUAUUCAAACUUAAGAAAUUUUGUAAGGGCCAACGUUUAGGGUGUUUCAAUAGUUCCCUGUAGUUUAUAUUCCUACUUUACAUGUUAUUUAUGCUUGCAUUAUCUUUGGAGCUCAAUCGAUUGAUGCCUACUGAGUACCACAUGUUUAGUACUCUGACUACACUUUUGUGGCUUGUACAUCAUAGUAUGAGUUCUUGUUGUUAAUGUGUGCAUCAUAUAGAGAAUCCAUUUGAUUAGAUAUUAGGGGUGAGAUCUUGAAAUUUAGAGUGUUUGUGCUCUAUCUUAUUAUCAGAUUGAUCUCUAUUUUAUAUUCUAAGACAUCUCUCUCUCUAUAUAUAUAUAUAUAUAUUAUUCAGUACUUCACAUGUCUUAUUAUAUUUGAAGCUUUUGUACUGACUUUACCUGGUUUUGGGAAUAUAUUUAUGUUCUUCUUGCUUUGUUUCUCCUUGUUAUUUAGUUUCUUGCUUUGUUUCUCCUUGUUAUUUAGUUUUACUUUUUCCUUUUUAUUAGUCUAUUACUAGUUAUUUUGGACUAUAGGUUGGCUUACCUACUGGUAGGUUAUGGUAUAUGUCAUCAUGACCUGAUAAAUUAGAUUGUGACAAAUUAGUAUCAGCGUCAGGUUUACCAGUGUAUUGGUACAAGAGCUAAGUUCCUAGUAGAUUUUUUUAGAUUGGUACAGAGACAUCUAUAUCCUAUCCCUGGGAGGCUAUAGGGCAUUUUUAGGAAGUUUUAUUCUUGGCUUUUUGUCAUGUGUUCUUAUUUCCAUGAACCUCUAGUACUUUCUUAGAUUAUAUUAUUUCUUAUAUGGAUGACAUGAGGUUAUCGAUAGAUGCAGAUAAUACUUUCACAGGUGUUACUAUAGUUUCAGCUCCAUAUCAGAUUAGGGAGUUAGAGAUUUAUGCCUAAGAUCUUCAGCGUCAGCAAAAGAAUUUAGAGCUAGCACAUGCUUUGGUAUUGUUUGUGAUUUCCUUAGUUCUUUAGGAUUUGGUAUUAGGGAUUCCAAGUAGUUUAAUGGAUACCUGACAUCCAGAGAUGAUAUCUAGUACAUCAAGUUAUUCUCAAACCAGAGUUGGAUUUGUUGGUGUUUAGCAGGGUUCUUUAUCUGGUUAGAGUAUGAGAUUGGGUUUCUCGAGUGGGACAAACAUACUCUUAUACUAUAUCUUUCAGAGAGUGAGAUGGUGUUUAUAUUUGACAUAGGGUUUGAAACACCCAAGAAUAUGGCCUUGCAAAAAUUUUUGUUUUUGAGCAUGACUGACCAAGGUAAAAUUGAACAAGCCACUCGUAUCCUUGGUCAUGACUUGUACCCACCUUGCCCUCCAUUUUCAUACCUUGAUAAGUACAUGAGGGUAUCAUACUAUUAUUUAUAUGACAUGAACUCUCUUUGGUUGUAACCAAUGAAUACGAGUCGUAUACUACUCAACCGUAUAGAUGAAGCCUCAAACUAAGUGGACUAUUUUUGUCACGAGUGAAGCUUAUGAGUUAGGAGUAAGUCAUACCCUUUUGAUAUGACUAAAGAGUUCCCACUUAUUUCCAUAACAGUAUGGUGGGCCUAGGAGAAGCCUAGGGUGCGAGUUAGGGUACCACUCGUACCCUAGGAUACGAUUACUAGAGAGCUGUAUGAGGGAUCGUACCCCUAGACAAGGUCACUUUUUAGCUUUUUACUAAGGGACUUGUGGUCAUUUACCUUGCCUAAGACCCUAAGACUUCACACUAUAUAAGGUAUUUUAGCCUCCUAAGCCCUCAUUUUACAAGACUCUAACACUCCAAAACACUCUAAAAGCUUUUUGAAGCAAGAUUGGAGGGUAGGGUUUGGAGAAUUCUCAUCAAAAAGAUAAAGAGGAAUCAAGUUCUUAGUGGAUCAACUUGUUUAAGGAAUAUAAAUCUUCCCCUUGUUAAAUAACUCCAAAAUCCAUGUAUUUCACACUUGGAUUAGUAAGUGUACAUGGUGGUUUUUGAUAGCAAAUGAAAAGGGUUUUGUUACCUAAUAAUGAAUAAUGUUGAUUCAUGCUUAGACUUAUGUUUGUAUAUGAUAUUGAUGAUGAUUGGCCUAUGUGGAUGCUUGUUGUAUGUGGUUUAACAUGAAGGUCUUGAGUAACCCUAAUCUCAAUGAUUUCUAACAUAAAAAUAACCUUGUUAAAGAUAUGCACUUAAGGUGUUUGUGAAAAUAUCUAAAUUGUCUAGUCACUUGUUUGUGAUGUUUUGAACUAGGUAAAUAUCCUAAUAAGUAUAAAUUAUUGAUGAAUGAUAUCAUAAAGGUAUUAUGAGCCAUGUAUUGUGUAAUUGAUCCUAUUAUUGGGUUAAUGACUAAUAAGGGGUUGAAACCCCUAAAUAUAAAAAUAAAUUUGAUAUAUAUGUUGAGCCUAAAUGUGGUGAGAAUAUAAUGUAAGCUUGCUAAUAAAAUGUGAAUGGUUUAGUGAAGGUCUAAUAUGUAUCUAUGAAAUUAGUCUAGUGAAUGUGAAUGAUUCAUGAUAAGUGCUAAUUGAAUGUGACUAUUUGUAGAUAUUUGGUAGAGGCCUUGUUGGCCAUGUAUUUAAUGAUAGUGAUUGUAAAUGUUGGGUAAAUUCUUAAUAAGAACUUUGCUGAUCAUGUAAUAGGUUAGCUCAUGGCUUUAAAUAGGGUGAUGUCCCUAUAAGUAUGAAUGGUUGAUAAUUGGUGUUUUGUUGAUGUUGCUAGCCAUGUAAAUUGUUAAACUAUGACCAUAUUCGUUUGAUGGCUAAGAUGAGGUGUUCAAUUCCCUAGGCUUGGACUUGAAAUUACGUAUAGAACCAAGUGUGGUGAAAAUGUGAUAUAUUGUGGUUAAUGAAAUAUGAAUAGUUGUGCGGGUCUUAAGGACCACAAAUUAUAUGGUAUGAUGAAUUGAAUUAAGGCAUUAGCCUAUUGAGAUGGUUGAGCAAUGAAGGCUCCCAUGAGGACCAUGUGGUCAUGUAUAAUGUUGAAUUGGCUAAAUGAGCCAAAGCCCUUAAAUAUGAGGUAAAUUGUAUGAGUGUAAAUGCAUGAACUAAUGGGUCAAGAGUUCAAAUGGUGACUAAUAAUGAUAGGCAAUUCGAGUUCCUCAUCUAAUGACACGGCUAGUGAUUUGAGUUCCUAGACCGGUGAUAUGACUAGCGAUUCGAGUUCCUAGUCCUAUGAAAUGAUGGGUUAUUUGAGUUCCUCAUCUAAUGACAUAGCUAGUGAUUUGAGAUCCUAGACCGGUGAUAUGACUAGUGAUUUGAGUUCCUAUUCCCAUAAAAUGAUGGCUGAUUUGAGUUCCUCGUCUAAUGACAUUGCUAGUAAUUCGAGUUCCUAGUUUGAAAAGCUCUCUUGAGGUUAAAAUACCUCAUCAAAUAAAAUGGCUAGUGAUUCGAGUUCCUAUUCCGAUAUGAUGACUAGUGAUUCGAGGCAAUUUACUUACGAUACUUGGUUGAUAUUCAUAAAAAGUAUCUAAGGAAUUAUGAGCUCAAUCCAUCCUUUUUAGCAGAAAGAUAGAUAUUCCUUACUCAUUAUCAGACAAUCCUAGUCUAAUAAAACGGUGAGUGAUUCGAGCUUCUCGUCUAAUGAAACAGCUAGUGAUUCGUGUUCUUAGUCUGAUGUGAUGACUAGUGAUCCGUGUUCCUAGUCCAAUGAGUUGACUUAUUUCUCGAGUCCCUUGCCUAAUGAAAUUUGUUAAAUUAGUUAAAUUGGUUAAAUUGGUUAAAUCGGUUACCUUGGUGGAUUCGGUUGAAUGUAAUGUGUUGGUUGAGUUGGUUUGGGGUUUAGAUCCCCGUGACUAAUGCAACAAUAAAGCUUAAGGUUAUAAAAUUAGUAAGGUGAAAGAUUGAAAGUUGUUUACUCCAUGUCUCAUGAAUGAAUAAUUUGAGAAUGCAUAUUAUAACCUGUCCCAUGCUUUGGUUCAUUGCGUAAAUAAACGUACAUAUACCUUCAUAUAUGCCUAUACUUGUGUAAAUUUGAUUACAUAUAAUAAUUUGACUUGGAUUGAACAAAUAUGUUAUGUUAUCCUUAUCCUUGGGUUACAUACUAUCGCUCCAACCACUAACCGUCUUCAGAUGCUAUGUCCCCACGCGACAUAGGUUCUGGAGCUUCUUUUUUUUUCUACGCAGUGAACAGGUGUUCGAGCGGUUCGUGCAUCGAUCUUGAAGUGGUGAACUUCCAUACUCAAGAAGAUCUACCUUUCAUAGUCAUAUUUCUCUAUGUCAUAAACUUGUAUAGCUUUGGUACAUGGCUAUGACAUAUUAGUUAACUUUGACAUUAUUAGAGGUUUUGUGGAUGAUUGUAGACUUGGGUAUUUUGUCUAGACUAUUGCCAUUAAUAAAAUGAUAGAUAUUGUCUAGUAUUGACUAUUAGUCUUAUAUCUCCGUUAUCUUACUAUAUGGUCGAGAUCCACUUAACCCUUAUGGUUAUUGUAACGAUGAUUAGGUUGGGUUAACGAGGCGAUCUCUGCUUCAUGUGGGCUUGAGGUGCCCAUACGAUAUGUCCCAAUUUUGAGGCAUGUCAGGGUUAACUAUACCACUCUGCUUGGUAUUGAAGCAUUCGAUAGUAGCUGGGUCUUCUUUUUCUUAGGUUGUUUAUUAUGCGCAGACUAUAAAGAGGCAUUUAUUAAGACAUAUAAAAGUGGUUGUAAGAUGCCAUGUCAUUAAUAUAAUGUUAUUGGUAUACCAUUUAAGAGAGGGGAUCCUUCCGAUAGAGAUCAGUAUCACUUGUAGUCUGUUAGUUCCAUAUAGGUAGCAUCUCAAGCUAUAGGUGGCUCUCAGAUUAUUCAUAGUAGUCACAGUUGGCAGAUUUCUCAUCAAAUAUCAUGGAAUAUUAAAUCUUGAUCUUCAAGCUAUGGCAGUCAUUUUAGGUCAGUAGGUAUAGUACAUCAAAAAGUCCUAUGGGCAUGUUUAUACUAUAGAGGGGUUGGCCAUUGGUCUAGGAAAUACCCUAGGUGUGAGUUGGUUAUUCAGAUAGGGUCAACAUAUGUUCCUCACCAGACAAGAGCUCCUAAGGUAUGUUAAGAUUAAGAGAGGGAUCAUUACUUCAGCAGAGAGUGUCCCAUGCAUCAGUUGAUCACAGGUAUUGAGAGUGUCCCCAAUAUAGGAUUAGUAGUCAUUCAAUUUAUCUAGAUCAGUUUCACAAUAUUAUGGCACCUUCAACUAGAGGUAGUGCAGUGUUUGAUUGAUGAUUCAGAUGCUCAGUUUGGGUUUGGACACACUCAAAUUUUUACACUUUUACGCAUGCCAAGACUAUAACUUUGGACUCCAUCGAUAUAGGUAUGAUUUGGCUUACUAUCUUUUACUUUUUAUGUGAUUUGAGUUAGGGUUUUACACACAUUGAUAACUAUAUACCUUGAUAUUAUAUAUUAGUUAUUGUAUAUUUUGUGUAGAUUCAUGCAUAUGUGACUACCCCUAUAGAUGAUUUCUUUUCAUAGUCGAUUGGUGUAGGGAUUUCCUAGGGGUGUAGAACUUGGGUUAAAGUCCUAUUUAUUUUGACAUAUUGGCCUUCUUAUGGCCCUUGGGUAGUACUGGUUGUUGUUUUUUAUUUUGUACCACAUGUCUUUAUACUGUUGUUAUUAUUGUCAUCAUUUUUACAAUGCUUGAUUCUUACUUGAUAGGUGGCUAGAUUAGCAUUAUCUAGUUAGAAUCCCCUUUCUCGUGAUUGUUCCUUAUUGGCUUAGAUGGAUAACUAAGUUGGUUGAUUUUCUCUCUUUUAGUAAGGUGAGGUUGGUAUUUUCUUCUCUAUUAGCAAAGUUUGAUCGAUUUUUAGAGGGAGUGAAUGUAGGUUGGCUUUCCAUGAUUUUGUUGUGGUUCUAGAGUUGGCAAUUCCAUUCUUCUGCCCAUUUUUGAUAUUAAAGAUUCCAGGGCUUACUUUUCUGAUUUAUUAGGUUUAUUACUUGGUGUAAGUAUUGAUAUUGGUAACGGUGUUGAUUUGGUUACUUUGUUCUUGCUAUGAUAUGGUCUAUGAUUCAGUUAAGUUAAGGUUGAUGAAAAUGGGUGAAUUAAGAAAAUUCUCAUUUCAGCAGUCUCAGCCUAAUAUGGUUUCGUAAAGUGCUUCUUCUUGGUGAUAUGUGUAUAUGGGUAUUUAUUUUCAUAGAUUAAGUAUUAGAUUGACCAAAUUCAGGCUAAGGUUGUAUUUCUAAGUUGCUUAAGUUUUGGUUAUCACUAGUAUUAUUUGCAGCCUUGUUAAGUUCCUGGUUAUGCCUAGAUAUAUUAUGCCCUUCGACAUGUGUGGAUUUGGUUGUUUGUGUCUUUAGUUAGUGGUUUUACUCUGUUGUAAUUAUGUUUUUUGACAAUAUUUUAGUUUUAACUCUUGCGAGAAUCGUUAGGCAAAUACUGGAAUUUUGAUAGUGAGAUUGGUUUGAGUAUUUGAUAUCUAUAAAGACACGUAAGCUUUAGUUUUGGAUUUGGAUCUUUUGAAUGGUGGCUUUGAAGUUAUGAUAGAUUUUGGUUUAUGGAUGUUUACUCGCCAACGGGAUUGGCUUAAAUAGUGAAAAUGAGUAAUUGAGCUUCGACAUAGAGCCUAUAGCUAUGGAUUGCGUAACUUGAGUGUAGCUCCAUUUUCAGAUUUUUUUCAAUUGAGCAUUCAUUUAUAAGCUGACUAAGCCUACUCUUUACCUACCAAUUUGAUUAUCUUUAGUUGAGAUGGGUUAUUCUUGAUAAAUGUUAAGAGGAGUAGUUCGUUGGUACACAGUAUUAGUUUCGACUGCUCUUAACCUUGAUUCUUAGUUUUUGCCAGAAUUUUGAAUGUCUUCUCAGUAGAAAAAAUAUGCUUAAGUUGGGCUUAGCAUGGUUUCACCCACACGGUAAGACACUCUAGAGCAGAUCAUUUAACUUUGAGGGAUUUUGCUUGGGAUUUAGAAUUAUUGGUUUCAAGGGUCAUCAGACUAGUUGUAACUUUUAAUAGAGAUCACAUGAUUUAAUUAUCUUCUUUUGUGUAUCUAGGAAGCACCUUAUAGUCUUAUUCUUAUGCUUGCCAUUAUGGAUUUUCAGUAGAUUAGCUUCAGUCUUUUAAGGUUAACAUGAUAUAAUUGCACGAACAGUGCUUGGAUGAUAUUUUGUGUUGAUCAUAGUAGAUAACAGGUUUGGAAUAACAAAGUAAUGUUAAACUUGGAAUUGGGAGUUGGUCGCAUGGUUCGUGCAUUGGGUUGUCUUUAGUUUGGUUGACUUUUCACCUAGUUGUGCUCUUAUCCAUGUGAUUUCAAUCUAUUAUGGUUAGACUUGCGUGCAUUAGUCAUUCUCGGUUCAGUUAGAGGCCAGUUGAGUGAUGAGGUUGAUUUUUGGUUAUUUAGGAAGUGAAGUAAGAAAGUUGGUGAAAAAAAAUACCUUUAGUAAAAUCCCUUAAAAGCAUUGUUUCUUCUUAGAGGUUAUCUGGGGUACGGUCCCAAUACAUCAUCCUUUUGAGCUUUUAGGCUCUUCCUAACUAUUGACUUUAGCGGACAAAAGUCCUUUUAGUAGUGGAUAUUGUAUUGACCCCCCAUGUCAUUUUCAUAAUUUUUGCACGCUUUAGGCAUUUCAUGCCUUCCCAUAGUGUCUAUAGGUCAUUUAUGACUUGACGAAACUAUCGAUUUGGUUAUCGAACAAUUUAUUUGGAUUUUAGGUUCAUUUCUCAAUUUUGGAGCUUUUACUGUUAAGGAAUUCAUGUUGGACCAAAUCUCCUAGUAAACGAUCUCAAAUGAAAAUUUUGAUAGUAUCAUUAGCUCCAUAAUGUUGAUUUUAGGUCAGGGGACCCUUGGUUUGAGUCUUGAGGCUUUCAGAAUUGUUUUGGGAUAUUGGGUAGAAUUAGCUUAAAAUAGAACUAGGUGUGGAAUCCACAUUUAAUCAAAACAGUUUUAGAUGGAAAUUUCAAUGGCACUGUUUAUUCUGAAAUGUUGAUUUUGGGUUAGUAGCAUUGUUAGUUUAGGUCCCGAACCUUUAUAUUUUAUUUUUUAGUGUUUAGAUAAAAUUAGUUAAAAUAGCCAAAAAGGGGUCUCGGGGGUUAAUUUGUUGUAAAUGACCUUUUUCAUAAAUCCAUUGAUUUCGUUGGAUCUGAAAUGUGUUUUAUGAUUAAUUUGAACUAUUGAUUCAUGUUCAUAGGAUUCUGGAUGAGUUUCGAGGGUCCAAAACAAGUUUUGAAAGUUGGUGCUAGUGUGAUCGCUUUAGCUAUAUUUUGACCUUCUGACCAGGUCGCUUUAGAGGUCGAAGUGCAGCUUUAGCAGCCAUCACUGAGUAUAAGACCCAAAUCAAACUCAUUUUGUAUUUUUAAUACUUUGGGGGCUAGGAAGCUUCAUUUUUGAUAAUUUUUUAUGUGUUUUCUCAAGUAAUCAUUGUCUUUGGGACUAUGCUUCAUAUUUUUUAUUUUUCAAGAAUACCCAUUUUAUUUUUCAUAAUUUUCGACUAAAAUUGUGAUUCAAAACUAUUUUUUCUUCAUUGUUGGAGUUGGGGGCAUUGAAAAUUAUGAAAAAUCGUCCGUUGAGGCUAAAGUAAGAUAAUUUAGCAUCUCUUAAUUAUUUUUUAUUAUUUUUUUCUGUCAAAUUCUGCUCUUUUACUUGUAAAUUCCUAGAAAUUAUAUUUAGAAUUUCUUUACUUUGUGGGUGGGCCUUGAAUCGAGCUUCACUUUGAGCAUACAUUCCUUUUCCUACGAGGGACCCCAUGACGGAUUCAAUUUUAAAAUUUUGUUAGCAAGCCCAACGGGCUUAUUUUUUAUCCGAUUUUGGACAUGGAGUUUUAUAUUGCAAUAUGGAUCUCAUUUUACUUGUAUUGAGGUGUAGAUUGUUAUUUUGAUAGUGUGGCAACAUUUAGGAAUUAUGGAGCAAAGAUGAGCGAAUUGUAAAUGAUUCAAGAUUUGCGGUUCGGCAUCGAGGUAGGCUUCGGUUUACUUUUCUCUACAAUAUUGUGUAUUGUAUGAAUUGCAUUCUAUUAGGGGUGGGCGUUCAGUAAUUCAGUUCGAUUUUAAUUUUUUUAUUUUGAUUUUUUUUAUUUUUGGUUUUGAAAUAAUGUGUAUCAAAAAUCGAAUCGAAAUAGUUUGGUUCGAUUUAUGUAAAUUCAACUCAGUUCGAUUUCGAUUUAAUAAUUUGAUUUUUCGAUUUUGGGCCUAUUUAAUGGAUUAUAUUUUAUUAGUAAAUUGGACUAUUUUUUAAGAUUAAAAAUUAAUUAAAAUAUGUAAAUUGUAAAUCUUAUAUCAGUUUAUUAGCGGAAUUUAACAACAUGAACAAUGACUAUAUCUCACAAACUGGAACUUGUAAAGUGCAGUUGUUCUGGAACUAUGAAGGUGUAUUACUUCAGAUCUUUCCAUUUCAAUAUGGUCACUCCUGUAGUAUCCUAAUUAGUAAUUAAAUAUCAAGUUGUUCAACUAAUAAGUAUUAACAAAUAUUAUUAUGUAGUUCCUCCACCUGAAGGUCCUGAACUGUUCCCUUUCCAUCUAGUUUCAUUUUUGUGACAGUAACGGUAUUCCCUCUCAAUUCUAACUAAAUAGAAUGCUAAUAUUCGGUAUGGAUUCAUAAAACAGUUGGAUUUGUUACAGACUUACAGCAGGCAGCAUAGCUAAAUGGCUAAAUGUUGAUGGGCUUAGAUAGUUAUAUAUAAAUAUAUAUUAUAUAUAUAAUAUAUGUGUGUAAUAAAUAAUUAGAAAAAAAUAGAAGUAUAUUAAAAUUUUUGAUUUAAACUGAAAAUCGAAUUACAUCAAUCCAAAAAUAAAAAAUUAAACUGAAAUACCGAAUUUAUAAAAACAAUAAAUCAAAAUUGAACCGAAAAAUUAAAAAAUUGAAACUGAAAAAACUAAUUAAUUUGGUUAGGUUCAAUAUUUUAAUUUUUCGAUAUUUAUGCCUACCCCUACAUGCUAUGUAAGGAUUAUAGGAUGGGAUUAUGUUUAGUUUAUCAUGAUUUAACCUAUUUAGAAAAUUUGAGAUAAAAAUAUGAUCCGAGACUUAGCAUAGAAUAUUUGAUAUGAUCUUAGAAUCCUAUUAUUCUUAUUUAUGACUUGUUUAAUCAUAGAUUGAUAUUACGGAUCCUUUAAUAUAGGACUCACCAUAUGACUUAGUGAUUUGGAUGAUAUUUCCCUGAUUAGAGCGUUGUAGUGAUUUUAUGCCCUUGAUUACCAUAGCUUUUCGAGUUUUGAGGCUUUAUUAUUUUAAUUAUAUAUUGUUGGGCCCAAAGUCGUGGUUACAAUACCAGUUGGACUCCCGAUGUUUAUUCUCGGCUUAAAAGGAUGAGAUUCUAGUUUAUAAACGCUUAUAUGCUUAUAGUUGUAUAGUUUGAAUACUGGUGAUGGCAUGUAUACUUUUAGAUGCAUUUAUAUUCGCUUAGUGGUACAAUUUCAACCAAAUUUUUUAUUUUACUACUGUUUUCUAAAAAGGAAUUUGUUUUCACUUUUCACUUUUAAAAGGAAUUGCUUUACAACAUGAAUCAUGCCACCUUAUAUUCUGGGCUUCUGAAACUAAAUAUGAUACUUUAAAAAAUUAGACAGAGGUUGAUUUUGAUCCAUUAUUAAAGUUAUAAUUCUUAUUUAAUGUUUAUAUAGUCAGUUUGAUUUGGAUAUUUUUUUACUUAAAAUCAAAAUCAAAUUAUUUUUUUCAUCUUUUUGAGUAUUAAAAAUCAAACCUAAAAAUGUCAUUAUUUUUCUCCAAUCUAAUUCGAUUUUUGAUUUUCAUUUGUUUUAUCAAUUUUUCAUGAACACCCUAAUCAAAUAUAAUUUGCCUAAUUUAUAUCCAAACAUAAAUGGUCAUUCACACGAAUGUCCUUAGUUUGGGUGAUUUUAAUUUUUACCCCUUAAAUUGGUUUUUAAUUUUAGUCCUUCAACAACAACAACACCAACAUACCCAUUGUAUUCUCACCUAGUGAAAUUUUAGUCCUUCAACACUUUAAGAAAUAAAAAGAGUAACUAAAAAUACCUUGACAUAGAAUUUAAAAAAAAAAUCGCAAGACACGAGUUAUAAUUACAAGACUAAAAAACUCGCAAGACAAAAGUCAUCACAAGAAAUUCAUAAUCUAUAUAUUAUGUCUCAUAAGGUAUACCUUAGUCCCAACAAAACUUAUGCAAAUAGAGGCAUAACUUGUUACUGAAGAAUUUUUGUCAUAUAAGAAAAAGGUAAGUUCUCUACACUUGUGCCUUGAAAAUUAAAUAUCACACAAUUUAUGCCAGAUAAGAAAAAAAAUCUUCUAAAGUUAUACCUUACAAAUUAAAUAUUUUACAAUUAAUAUCGAACAAGAUAAAAAUUCUCUAAACUUUUGUUUAUGAAAUCAGAUCAUAAUUAAGAAUGAUCGACCCAUAAAUUUUUAUUAAACAAAGGCAAAAAAGUGGGGAAAAAAUUAAAUUACUAAUUAAAAAAAAAGGUUAAAGAAUGUCAAAAUAGAGGCAAGUGUGCAAAAGCUUGAAAAAUGAAUAGUUUUGGACAUACGCAGAAACAGCCCAAGCGAAGCUAUUCAUAGCAAAGUCACAUUAUAAAUUCAUAUGUUACUUAGAUUUUAAUAUUUUAUCGGAAAAAUAUAACUAGUUAUUAAUUUUUUUUAAGUAAUGUAUUAAUUCUUUCAAUAAUGAAAUAUAAAAAUAAGUUGAAAUUUUAAAUUUAUCAAGUAUUUUAUUUACGUUUACAACAUAAAAGUACAAAAAAUUAAUUUUUUAUAUUUUUUGUUUAAAGACACAAGUGCCCCCCUUCCCUCUUCCAAAACUAUACUCGAAAUCUCAGUGACAUACUUAAACAAUAUCGGGUCUUAUUACUUGUCUAAAUUUAUUUUAUCUGUAUUUUUAUAUUCUUUUUAUGUUGACGUGUCUGUCAAGUCAGCACAAAAAAAGUACAAAAUAUCUUACUAUUUGAUCAGCACGUUAGCAUAAAAUGAACAUAAAAAUAUAAAAAAAAUGAAUUUAAAGGAUAAUAAAACUUUGUAAAAUUCAAAUAUGACACUGAAGUUUUAGAUAUAAUUUAGGGAUACUUGUGCCUUAUCCCUAAUAGCUAAAUGAGAUAUCACAAAUCGAGAUAGAGGCUACCACUGAAGAGGUUCGACUGAACAAAUAUUUUUGGACAAAGGGCCAAAUGUGUAACUUCUCCAAUUUUAUAUAAUAUAGGAAAAACACAUAAAUAUACAAUUUAAGAGUCUAUAUUACAAAACAUACCCAUACUAUUUUUUAUUUGCAAAAUAUAAUCUUUAAUUACAAAAUCUAUCAACUAAUUAGAUAUCAAUUUAUACUAAAAGUUCUAACUAUUUUAUCACAUUCUUCUUUUUGUUUUGUAAUUUUGCAAUAGUUUUAACUAUUGUUGCACUUGUUAUUUACUUAUUCACUCGUUAAAUCAAAAUUUGGGUUUUAUUCACUUAUUGAUGAUUUUAUUCCUUUUAUGUAACUAAAAAAUCUCUGCUGUUUUAUCCUCUAGAGAGAGAUAAUGGAUAGGGUAUUUCUCAGUGGAUGAUGACAUUGGCGAUCAUUUUUUGUCUACGCCAUCGUCGAGGGUGGAGUUAGACGUUGAUUCACCUAUCUCCGCCGUCAAUUCCUACUCUAAUAUAAUGAAUUAAAUCUCCUCCAAAUGGGCUUUUCGACGCUUCCUGCAAGAACCCACUGCCACUUCUCUUCUCUAGCCACCUACAAUGGUAUCUUCUUCAUCAUCGUCGCAUCAAAAAGGAUGUCAUCGAGAUCAAGGAUUGAGAAUCUAUCUUCUGCUUUGAAUCUUAAUUUUGAUACGACGUUGAAUUUGAAGUUGACAAUGUCAUUUGUAUUUGGACCACCACAGAAUAUUAUUGUUGAUUCUUGUGUGGAUAUGGUGGUGACAGUAGGUAUGAUGGUAGAUACGGUGGAGGAUACGGGUAUGGUGGCGGUGACUGAGUAGAUUGUAUGUUUCAAAGUUUCGCUGAGUUUCAAAAAAUUUCUGAUAAAAUUGUCGAAAGAAUAUCAAUGAUUUUAUGGUACAUAAUUUGUAUAGAAAUUGGGGUAUCAAUGAUUUUAUAGUGCAUAAGUUGUAUAGAAUUUGGGGUAUGAAUAAUUUUAUGGUAUUUGAAUUGUAUAGAAAUUGGUGUAUUAAUGAUUUUAUGGUUUCUGAAAUGUAUAAAAAUUGGUGUAUGAAAUAAUUAGAAAUUGGUGUAUAGAUAAUUUUGUGGUGUUUGAACAACAUAGAUAUUGGUGUAUUAAUAAGGAAAAAUACUCAAUAAAAUAUCUGAACUUUGUCUGAAUAUCCAGUUGAACAUACUGAACUUUGCGGGAGUUUUAUUACCCACCUAGACUUUUUUAAGUGAAAUUAAUUCUCCCCCGGACUUUUUAAAGUGGAAUUAAUUCCUCCCCCUCCCUCGAAACGCUAUACCUAGUUUUGACGGGCGAAAGUGUAAGACACGCGCGAUUUCUUCUCUAUUUUAUUAGUUUUCAAUAUUUUUUCACUAUUACAACCAUAGUAAAGGUUUCACAACUCAAAUUCCUCCUACAAAUCAAAUUCCAAAUGAUUCGAGUAAGUCAAUUCCAAAUUUCAAGUCCAUUCUUAUCACUUUUCAUCAUUUUUUCGCCAAAAUCUUGUUCUAUCAAAGGUUCUUCGAUUAAUCUUGAAAUGCCCUAUUCUGUCUUGCCAACGAAUUCAUUGCGACUCCAAAUUUAUUUAGUUCAUACUAUUUUUUUAAGAAAAUCUUUUCCCCAAUUUCAAAUUCAAAUUGAAAACUUUCUUCAAUAAUUUUAUUCAAAUCAGAAACUUUCUUAAAAGAACUGCAGAUUUUGCUAAUUGGUAUGAUAACCAGUAAAGAAAAGGUACAUAGUCAUCUUUUCCAGAGCAACCGUAACAGCGAGACCAACAGAUAUGACAAAAAAUUUCUUGUCACAAGCUUGGCUCUGACCAGAUACAGGUUUGAAUUUUUUCUUUUCCCCCCUUAGUUGGUGGCUGAGGUGGUGGUGGUUGCCGGCGGCAAUGGCGAUUGGUUGGUGGUGGCAAUGGUGGGUUAAAUUUGUCAUUUUGAUGAAACUGAAGAUGACCCAUUUGGUGUGUAUGUGUGUUGAAAUUGAAUCAAAUUGAUGUAAUUGAAUUGGGUGUGCUAAAGAUGACCCAUUUGGGUGUGUAUGUGUGUGAUAAAAUUGUGUUCAAUUUCAAUUCAACAAUGGAGCAACCAUGAUGUUUUGUUGAAAACUCCAUUGUUGGAGAGAAGAAAGAAAGAAGAGAGAAGAGAAAGCAAAUGAAAAAAUAAAUAAAAAACAUAAAAUUAUUAAAAAUCAGAAAAUUGAGGGGUUAUGUGACCAAAAAAAAGUUUUAUAACGUUUUUAAAUCAUUCUCACUCGCUCAAAGGACGUGAUUACACGCACUUGUCAAAGUGGGUAGAUAUAUGCCAUUAAAAUAUAAAAAAAAAAGUGUAAGGGAUAAUAGGACCCCCACAAAGUUCAAUAUGUUCAACUAAAAAUCCGGUCAAAGUUCAAGUAUUUUCCUGAGUAUUUUCUCUAUCAAUAAUUAUGGUGUAUGAAAUAGUUAGAAAUUAGUGUAUCAAUAAUAGCAAUUUUAAAAUGUUUGAACUAUCUAUAAAUUGAAAUUGGUUUAUCAAUAAUAAUUAUAAUUUUAUGGUGUCUGAAAUAUAUAGAAAUUGGUUAUCAAUAAUUUUAUGGUGUCUAAAAUGUAUAAAAAUACAUGUAUCAAUAAUUUUAUGAUGUCUGAAAUAUAUAGAAAUUCGUGUAACUAAUUGAAAUCAGAAUAACGUGUUUUAUUUAUAACCUUGACAGAAGUAUCAAAUUAUGCAAAAGACAUUUUAGUAUAUCUCAAUUGAGAACGUAAACAACAUUUUGUGAAAGUAGGAUUUGUUCGAAGUCGCAAUUGCCGAUGGGAAAUUUUGGUGAUUCACAACAUCGGGGAACCCUUGAGUCUCCAACACAAGACUGAAUAAGGUUUGUUAAUUUUCUAUUGGUAUAUUUUGAAAAGUUGAAACUAUUGAUAUAUUUUAUAGUAGUGACUCUUAGAUGGUAUAUUUAUGUGAUUUGCCCUUUUAUAUAUCUGAAAAGCGAAUAGUUGUUGGGCCUAAGCAGAAGCAGCCCAAGCGAAGCUAUUAAUAGCAAAAUGACACUGUAAUUUCACCAUCCAUCUCUUAAGUAUUUCUUAUUCUUCAAGUUUUGGCUAUUCUCUCUCUCCCGAUUCCCAACUUUGAUUUUCAGCAUCACUCAUCUGCAAACAGGUAAAGUGUCUGCUUACAAGUUCAAUUUAAUGCUUCUUAACAAUUCACUGUUCUGCUCUAAUCUUUUAAUUUUUGGUAUCUGUGGGUAGGUCUAAUUUGAAGGUAAAAUGGAAGUUCCACAAAAAGGUGGGUUUAGUUUUGAUUUGUGUAGAAGGAAUGAGAUGUUGGUGAGUAAAGGACUUCGUUCUCCUUCUUUUCUCAAGACUGGUACUACCAUUGUCGGCUUAAUUUUUCAGGUAUUGCAAAUUCAUCUGAGUGUCUAUCGACCGUCGUUUCUCAGUAGAUCCGUUGAUAUGUUAAUGGGAUCUUUAAUAUGAGAAGUGAGGUUAGUAGGUAAUCGUAUUGCCAAACUUGUCCUUUGUAUUAGAAAUCCCUUUCCUCAGAGAAAGAAGAUGAAUAUUAGAAUAUCCACUGAGGGUAGAUAAUAUUGCCUCGUGCUUGAAGGUUCUGUCUUGAGGAGGAGAUAGGAGAAACUUCUUUUUUUGCUUAGUAUACAUGGAUCUUCUUUUUUGCUUAGUAUACAUGGAUUAUAUGCAUUUAUAACUUGUGUUUUCUUUCUUUUCUUCUUUUACUCCUUCCCCCUCUUUCUUCCGCUUAGAAACAUGGAGUUCUAUCUGCAUUAAUUAAGUUGUAAAUGCAAUGUAACUCUUCUAAUAGUAUCCCCUACUAGCGUGAUUGGCAGGGAGGUGAUUUUAGCCUCUCACCAAGCGAAGUAUGGGAUAUAUACCAUUAAGGGAUCAUUCAUUAUCUAUAGUCCUCCCAAACUACAACACUGGACGUAAGCUAAUUCAUGUCAACAUAAUAAACAUAGUUGAGUUUCGCCUGGCACGCUAAUCAACAUAAGAAUCCAAAUUGUUCAAACCAUACUGAUGUAAGGACUAGGAUGAUCAUUACUGUACUCUAUGUAAUUCCAGGCCAGCUAUAUUCCUACUUGGUGUUGUUUAUAAAGUUAUUGCUCUUUUAUCUACAUUUAUUUAUCUUUAGAUUGAUUCUGAGAUACGAUGUCCCACAAAAGAUUUGCUUUUGAGAUCUACUUUCUUUUACGCAUUGGAAAUAACUAUUAAACAUCUUUACAUGCUCCGUUCCUAUAAGAAGAUUUGCCCAGAUCCCUUAUUAAUAGCUCGAGUAAAGGUCAACAUGAGUGGCCACACUAAGAUUGUAUGGGAGGGAUGUGUUUCGAAAAUUAGUUCCACAAGACAGGAGUGGAGGGGUGGCUCUAUGUGUUCUCACAACAGCACUACACUAGAAUGUUAAGAUUGAAUGUUCCUAAUGAUGAAGGAUGGCUAUUGAUGAUUGUCUACUUUUAAAAGACUUGUUGGAGUCAUUUAAAUAGUGAUUUAAUCUGUUAUAUGAUUGAUUUUUACUUCAGUGGUAUAUAGAGUUCAUGUCCCUCCAUGUUGACACAUAUCAACUUGUGUGAUGCUAGUUCAUGCUACCUCUUUUUUUGGUGAUAAGUAUUUCAUGCUACCUCUUCUUCUUCUGCUUUAUUACCAACUCUAUAGCAAGUGUUAUAUAGCUCCUAUGGUAGACACAAUGAUACAAGUCGAAUUACUCCAAAAAUUCUAACUCAAGGUAGUUGGCGAAGCUUUAUAGAUGAGGAUGUGUUUUGCGAUCCACCAUGAUGAGGAUGAGUGGUGGAGGAGUCUCUUUCGUUGGGUAUUUGACACGUUGGGUCACUUUUGGGCUUAUUUGGCAUUUAGGGUCACUUUUGGCCCCAUUUUGUAAUAAAUAGCCCAUGACAAUAAAUAGUUAGGUUUCCUCUUUCCUUAGACAUAGAUGAUUUUUGAUGAACUUACACUUGAGAAUGUUUAUUGAGUUUGUUGGGGAGCUUGUUGACUUUCUUAGGAAUGUUGGUUGUGAGGGGUUUAAUUUUCCUCUCAGUCUUCGUAAAAGUUAGGUGCUUGUUGGUAGUCUAAAAGGAAGGUCUUCGGAUUUAAUAUAUUCGUUGAUUGUCCUUUUGCUAUCAUCUUGUGUCUAUUUAUCUAUCUAUUUAUCAUUUUCUUUAUGAUCUUUCAAUUUUCGUACUUGUUUUUGUUUUUGUAUUUUUGAUCUAUAUCAUUUAGUAUUAGAGCCGAUCUUAGAAUCGUUUCCACGAUUCUAGUCUUGGGUUGUGGUAUUGAAAAGAAAAUUAAAAAAAAUAAAAAAACAUGUUUUGAAAAAAAUCCCAAAUUUUGAGUUUUUGAUUUUUGUUUUCUUGAGUUUCUAAUACCAGAAUUGUAUUCUCUAGUGUUAUUUGAGUCUAAAUCUGAAAUUUGAGCUUAAUCGAAGUUGAUUUGAGUGCUUUAUCAUUGUUGAGUUUUGUGUUUUGAAGGAAGUGGAGUGGGUUUUGAGAUCUAGGAAUUUUGGCUUGGAUUUGAAGGUUUAAAGUUGCUGGAAAGUGUUCCCCAUACCAAAAGGAUCUCAGAUCUCGAAUUUGAAGUGAUUCUAAAUUAAAACGAGAGAAUUUGAAAUUUGAAAGUUCACCAUCUUCAUGGUGUUCUUCAAAUUUUAAAGUGGGUUUAAUUUCCGAGAGCAUUUGGUUGGAAUUAAGGCCUAAAAACACUUGGGUUAGAUUUGGGAGGUCGAAAGGAGCUCGUGGUUAAAAUUUCAUUGCAUUUGGAGCUCGUUUGAUCGAGGAUCAAUUUUUGAAUGUUCAUGUGUUCUUCAUGAUCUUAUCUUGUUGAAGAACAUUCAAAAAAAGGUGUGGCUUGAUCCAAAAUGGAAAGGUAAAAGAGAAGGUGUACUUGUUUAUGCUGAAGGAUUAUUCCAAAGGAGGAAAAAUCCAAGUGAAAAAGUACCAAAAAGGGCCUUUGCGCCCUUAUCUGCCCACGCAGUUCAUUUUCCAGCACCUUGUUUUUGAUCUGUGAACCCCAUGUGCGGGUCAUGACCUGCGCCCACAUCUCAUCCCAAUGCAUCUCAACUACUCCUAAUCCCAUUUCGUUCCGGUUCCAUCUUAGUUUCAAUUCUUGAUUCCUAAAUUCAUUUCUUGAUUCUUAACUAAUUAACAACUCGUAUUUGAUCUACUUAGUUGAUUAAUUAGUUUUUAAUUUCGUUUUUUUUCUUGUCCUUUUCGUUGUGUUCUUUUUUCAUUUAUUUCUUAGUUAGCUUCUUUGAUUCAAGUCCUACCGUUUAAAUUGAGGCGUCCGUUCUUUUCUUAAUAAGACUCCAUUCUAAUCGAGAGUAGCAAAUUGACACUUCAUAUACCAACAAGAACAAGCAAAAUUCAAUAAAGUCGAGCUAAUUGUGAGACGAUCUAAGUGUGAAAACACUAGUGAUUGUGAGAUUUGAUUUCACUAAAGUUAACCUUGUUUGAUAGUUGUGUUGAGUGUCUUGUUGAUAGGUACCAUGGCACCAGGAGAUAAGAUCCAACCUACCAUGGUCGGGGCAAACUUAGACACUUUGAUCGAGGCCAUGAUGGGGUUUCGACAAUAUAUAAAUGUGAUGAGGGGAGAGAUGUCAAACAUGAAUAAGAAGAUAUCGAAUGUGGAGGGAGAGUGAAGAAUAGAGACGGAAGGUUGGUGAGUGUGGCGGGGAAUCUUAAUUCUUCAGAUGCUACUCUGCAAAACAAUCUUCAAGCAUCCUCAAGUAGGAAAGCCCAACAGACUUCGGCUACCAUUUCUCCUAGAACUUCCACUACAUGUUUUACCCUCUCCAACAAGGUAAUACUCCCUUACCUAAUACUACUACUACUACUACUACUACCGAUCAAACUCCACGAAAUGUAGCCUGACCCCUACAAUUCAACCUACCCCAACCAAUGCCCCAAAACUCACCACUACCCCAAGCUCCACAAAUUCUCACGCUACCCUAUCAAACACCACAAAACCAAGUUUCAAACUAUCAAAUGCCACAAGGAUUUUAACUCACAAGGUCUCAACCCACCCUACUACCUACCCUAUCAAGUGCCACAAGUUCAAGUACGACACUACCAAAACCACAAAAUCCAAAUCCACCUUACCAAGCUCCACUUAACCAAAUGCCACCCAACCAAGCCGUAGGGGUUCAAUGAGAGUUUGAGGGACAUGUAGAAGGAGGUUAUGGGUAUGGUGCUCAAGGAAAUAAUCCAAGGGACCUAGGUGGAUAUAGAGGUCGUGACAUGGGCCUCAUAUCUAUGAAGGUUUACUCUUUCUAGCUUUCAAGGAGGUAGAGAUCCCGAAAGGUACCUCAAAUAGGAGUCUAAAUGUGAUAGGAUCUUUCAAGCUAAUGAUUUGCCCGAUGUCAAGAAGACAACCUAUGUCGUUGCUCAAUUCAAGGGAUAUGCUUUGACUUGGUGGGAGUUGGCUAAAAGAAUACAUGGAGUUCUUCAUGGAGGUCAUUAUCCACCAUGGGAGGCAAUGAAGGUCAUUAUGAGAGCUAAGUAUGUGCCGAAGAGGUAUAUACAAGGGUUGCUUGCCAAGUUGUACAAUUUGAGACAAGAAGACCAGAGUGUUGAAGCGUACUAUGAUGAGUUUCAAAAUCUACUCUUGAAGCUUACUUAUAACGAGGAUGAAGAGCACAAUCUGGUUCAAAGUGUUGUUGGACCAAGAAAUUGCCUCUAGAAUGACCAUACACAAGUUUGCCCGGAUGGAUGAUCUUUUAGAAGCGGCUAUGAUGUUGAGCUAGAUAUCAAGGCAGAGAAGGCCAUCAAGCCUAAUAUGGGAAAUCAAGUGUCCUCAACUUGGAGUCAAGGCUCUGAGUUCAUGAAGUCCUUUGAGAAGAAUGCUCCAAGGUAUCCCCCAGAGAAGGAGGUAAUCCUAAUCUUAAGGGUACCCAAUGUUUUAAAUACCAAGGAUCGGGUCAUCGAACGAGCGAGUGUCCAACUCAGAGAGCAAUUAUACUUCGGGAAGGUGAAUCCUACCACAAAGAAAGGUGGAGAAAAAAGAGAACUACAUAGAGGGGGUUGAUAGUUUUGAUGAGAAUGCGGAAGG